rnacentral:lncRNA from 1 species
UUGGAACUGGUUACCCAAUAACCUUAAAACUAUCUGAAACCCCUCUAGACCUUAGAGACCUAUUUCAUUUCACCCUUAUCUCUCUCUGAUGCAAACCCUAGCCGCCCCCUCAUUCCCCCGCCAGCUCCGCGUCGCUCAGCCGCCCGGAAAUCGCCUUACGGCAGCGAAGCUUCACCAAAUCACCCCAAAUUCACCCUCUACAAUCCUUAGUCUCCCCUCUAUACCAUCCCACCAUCAGCUUCCCCAAAAACACCACCCAAUUCCGUCGAUUUCAUAUCUGAAAUCUGACCCUAAAAACUCUAAAUCACCCAAAUGGCCCUAAACUCACACCAUAGGACCCUCAACCUUCCCUCACCACUACCCUACCCUUGAUUCCCCAAAAAUUCCCACCAAAAUCCUCGAAUUUGAAAUCUAUGAAAAACCAGAAAAACCUAGUUCCAUUUGUCCAUCCUUUUCGAGUUUUCUUUGGAUUGCUUCCGGAUUCGAUGUGGUUGAAAGACCAUGUUGGUCAAUCAUUCUCAACAAGAACGGUUGGUUAGCAUAUUUUUUUAGUCGCAUCAAAGGACUGUUGAACUGCCAGACUCCUUUUGGUAUUUUCCUUAACUCUUUUCCUUGUUUCUUUAUUUUGUUAGCUUAAUUUAUGCAUGUGAAUAAUUAUAAGUAAUCUAGUUUAUUUCUGUACAAAUUAUUUAGUUCACAGCAUGUCUAAUUGUUGGAAAAUUAUUUUUAGUUGUAUAGUUUAGUUAAUUCAAUCACCGUGGAGGUUAAUUAGGUUAAUUAUUAGGUUUCAUUACAUUACCAUAUUUGUUUCUUUGUUUGUUACUGUGUUCUGCUAUCUGUGUUCGUUUAAAUUCAGUUUUUGUUUAGAUAAGCAUUUUCAUUUAUUGAUUAGUUUAACUUUUAGGUUUAAAUUGCAUCAUCGUGCUUCAGUUGUCAUUUCAAUUUGAAUUUUUGGACCCCUUUUGAUUUUGUCCAUGAUUUGUAAAUCACUAGAACUUGUAGGGGCUUAAUUAAACUAAAAGGGAAACUUAGGAGGAUUUCAGAACUUUAGAAAAACAAAUAUCUAGGAAAAGGAAGGUUCUAGAAGUAUACAGCUGUCCAGAAUUAUUUAAAAGAUGCUGAAAAAUGGACAACUGUCCAUUAUUCUCUGUCAAAAAUGAUGUACUAUCUAAGGAAUUUAGGGUAGAAUACUCCUUAGAUGUUAUUUUUGGAUAUACACUAUAAAAAGAAAGUCAUUCCCUCAUUUUCUCACAGACUCAUCAGAUUUCAAAAAUACACUCUAAAAAUUCAGCUGUUGUUUCUAUAGAAGCGGACUCUCUUUUCCUCUAAUUUUAGCAAAAAACUUAAAGAACUUCUUUGGGAUUUUCUGGUUUUCAUAAGUCAAAAAAUGGAUUGAAUCCGAAGCUUUCUUUUCUGGGAUUUACUGCUGCUGCUCAUGCUGUGUUGUUUAAGUUUGGGUUGAGCUCCAAAUUUCAUUAUUUUGAUCUGUACUUGGUCUUCUUUCUACUGUUCUUCUUGUUUCUGGCCAUUAGGUAUGUAGAAACUCACCUGUAGCUUCAUGUUGCAUUUAUGAAUGAAAUUUGGGACUAUCUAGUAGUGUUUUGUGUUUGAUUUCCUUACUAUGUUCCACUGAAUUUGUUCCAUAAAAAUUUUUGUUCUUUUUAUCAGCAUUCUCUUAUGCUUCUUAUGUAAACUAGUGGCCCUUGACUUAGUUAAGUUCAUAUGUGUUUCUCCUAUUUAUUUAGUUUUGUUUUUUAAAAUAAAAAUAAAGAACAAUCAGAAUACUUUUGCGCUACUGUCUGGUCAUCUGAAUUAGUGUGGUUAUCUUGAGAGUUGUCAAACUAUCUCAUGUUUAGCAUGAUUAUGUUGUGAUUUGGGUCUGUUUUGUCAAAGUUGAUAUUUCAUGUGUAAACUAACGGAUUGUAAGCUGGAAAGUGAUCAAGAUUGUUUAAUUCUAAAUAUGAAUGUAGAUAGCUAUUAACAACAGUUGGAGCAUGUGGUGUCAACUGUUAAAUUUUGUAUAGUUUCAGCCCUGUUUGAACCUUGCAGAAUCAAUAUUAAUUCAAAAAGGGUUUCCUUAUAAAGUGGUUUUGCUGAAGUAUAUGGAUUUUUGUUGAGUUUGAGAAGGCUUAAUGCUGGUUACAUGGCUAUGUCUUGCUGAUCUGACCACCAGUCGGAUCAGAUUGGUGAAGCUAAGUCUAAAAGGUGGAUUUGGAGUCAUCCAUGGAAGGGGUGUAACACAAGAUUGGUUAUGUUUUUUUUAGUUUAAUUAGCCUUAUGAACAAUCUAUGUAAAUAUUUAAGGAUUCAUGUCUAUUAUCCUUCUUGAUGAUUGUAUUGUGAUUCACCAGAUUUGCAAGUAUUAGAAAUGUAAUUAAUUUGUCUUAUCUUAGAUCAGAUAAAUAGUUCAGCUAUUCAUCUUCUCUAUUUUUAGCAUUUGUUUUAUCUGAAAACUUGAAUGGAUCAAUGCAGAUUUUUGUUUAGUAUUGCAUUGUUCCAAUUAUGACUUAAUGCAUUGGGCUUCACUGCGAGCCCACUUGCAGACGCGUUUUAGACUCUUUGGAGGCCGAUAGCUACUACGUUACAAUGAUGCUAUCAUGAGAUGAAUUCUUAUUUUAAACUAAAUAACUGGAAGCAGCCCGUUUCUUAAUAUGAUCCAAUUGAAAUUUUUUUUAGUGUUCAAUAUUCUGACAGUCCAUAUAAGUUGGAUUCGAGAUUCACUUUGUCUAAUGUAUUUCCAUUUCAAAAUAACUCUGUAGCUAUGGAUCUCCUUAUGCUUGCCUGCAAACCUUUUUUUUUUUUAAAAUGAUCAUAUGAACACCUGUAGUUUGUUUUAGGCACGUAAUUAAAUUAUCACGACUAUGGGUACGGUUCCCGUGGCGUAGUUGUGAUACCUAAUUUCAAAUUAGCUUUAAAUAUGAACAUCCAUAGUUUGUUUAGUUGAGUAAAACCUUUUGAAAUAAAUUGAGGCAUGCCAUCCACAAAUGAAUUCCAUAAUCUAUGGCCCUCACAUUAAUACAAAACUAGUAUGGAAAAGACUUGGAACAUUCAUAACUAGUGUAGAAAACACUUUGAACAUUCGUAGUUUGUUUUAGGCGCAUUUAUAAUAAAAUUACCAUAGCUACGGGUACGGUUCCAGUGACGUAGUUGUGAUACAUAAUCUCCAAAUUCGGGGGUAUAUUUAUGUGAUCCAGCCACAACUUCUAAUAACUUUAAUAAAUUAAACAUGUUGUAGAUCGUGAGUACGGUUCCCGUGAUAUGAUUCGCAAUGUAUAUCAAACAAACAAGUGUACGACAAUCGUAACUUGUUCCAGAAUAAUUUUAUAAAAUAAUUAAAAGCGGUUUAAAGUUUAAAAAUGCACACUAGGUUUAAAACAUGUAGUAAAUCAGAUAACUAGGCCAAUUUUAAUAUUUUAAGCGACCGUGCUCGAACCACAGAAUUCGGGAAUGUCUAACACCUUCUCCCGGGUUAACUGAAUUCCUUAUCUAGAAUUUCUGGUUUCGCAGACUUUUAAAUAAAGUAGAUUUUCUUCGAUUUGGGAUUUAAAAUAAACUAGUGACUUGGGACACCAAAUAAAUAUAUCCCAAGUGGUGACUCUAAAAAUUAAAUAAAAUAAUCUCAUUUCGAAUAAUGUCACUUUAAUUGGAAAAACUCUCUUGUAUCCCCUCCAGAUGGUAAAAAGGAGGUGUAACACACAUCAUAUAAAUUUUUUUUUGUAUGAAACUACAAAAUCUACUCUCCUUUUUCUUUUUGAUCUUUACAUGCAAUGCUUCAUAAGCUAAAAAUAGAGUAAAAUACAACUGUUAUAUUCAUGAAUUAUGAUAUGAGGACAAACUUUAUGCAUAUUUGUCAACUUUAUGCAUAUUUGUCCACCAUAUUUGACCUUCUGAAGGUACCUACUAAUAGAAUAAGAUCAUUAAAAUUAGAGUGUUAGUAACUAGCUAUGCGAAAAAUUUUAAAAUUUAAACGAUCACUGCGAUUUUUUUUUUUUUUUGCCCAAUCACUCGAAAUAAAUUUGAACAAUCGCUAUUCAUUCAGCCUAUGUUAGUAACUCUUCUUAUAAGAUGCACAUCGUAUUAAUACCCUAAUGAGGCGUUUAUAACUUUACAACAACUCCUUAUUGCAAUAUGUGGUGGACAUGCAACUCCAAUAAAUUUGACGUUAACCCCCCCUCCCCCUACCUCUCCCCCAUUCCCCCUUCCUCCCCCCUCGCCAUCCCCAGCCACAAAAAAAACAGUAUUUGACGCAAGACUCACGAUAUUGUUUUAGUCUCAACUUUCACAUUGUAGUGAUUAACUAUAGUAUGUAGUAAAAUGAUCAAAGAAAAUUAUAAUUCCAUCAACUUCGUAUUUUAUAUUAUACCAAUAGCAACUUAAUUGUCUCAUACUAUCCAGCAAAAAUAUAAAUCUCGCACAAACUACUAUGUAAAUACAAAAUGAUCUUAAUAGAAUGAACUUCAGACUUCAACAAAAAAAUAAAAAUAAAAUCAAACAUGUACAUCACAACAGAAGCAUUCUUAUACAAUAUAUAUAUCCAAAACAAUACGAAUUACUUCAACAACUCCAGCGACUCCAAGGAGAUAUAACUCUUUCAUACAGGCAUCUGCUAUGUAAUAACUACUUUUGUAUAUUCUUAACUUCCUAUUUCUCCCCUGUAUGUGUGUGUAAGUGUUUGUAUGUAUGAGACAUAACUAAGAAAGAUUGUAGUUUUUUCAUGUUUCUCCUUUUAGUCAUAACUAGUAUACGGUACUUGUGCGAUGUGCGGAUAAUAUUUAUUAUUAUUACGACCUUUUCCCGGACCCCACACAUAGCAGGAGCUUAAUGCAUCGGGCUGCCUUUUUUUUGUCACGCUAAAUUCUACUUGCAAUAAAUAAUAGUCUAAAAAAGUGGGCCAAGAAAGGAAAUUUACCUAAUUGCUGAAAUAGAUCUAGAGACGGAAAAGUGGAAGAGUGCUGCGAUAGCUUAUAUCAUUGGGAAGUACCAGGUUACAACACUAUGAAGAGAUACAUUAGGAUGAAUUGGGCAAAUGUUGCUGAACAUGAAUUAUAUCUACAUGUGGAGGGCUACUACAUCAUUAAGUUUCAAAAUGAAGCACAUAUGAAGGAAAUCUAUUAUUCUGGGUCAUACACGAUAAACAAUAGACCUAUCAUCCUAAAGCCUUGAAUACCAGAUUUUGAUUUCAAUGAGGAGUUUCCUACAGAAAUUCCUUGUGGGUUCAAUUCCCUAAGCUGCCUAUGAACUAUUGGGGUCAUGAUUCGUUAAGUAGAAUGGCUAGUGCAAUUGGGACUCCUAUCUAUGCAGAUGAGUGUACUGCAAAGAAAACUAGAGUGUCAUUUGUGAUGAUGCUGAUAGAAGUAAACAUCACUAAAGAGUUGCCUCUAGAGUUAGUGGUUAUGGAUCCUAAUGGCAGGAAAUUCACACAGCUAGACAGGUAUGACUGGAAACCUGAGUACUACCAGAAAUGUCUAGUGAUGGGGCACAAAUGUGGCAUAGAGCAAUGGCCAAACAAUCAGCAAGAGAAACAACCUAUAAGGAGAAGAGAGCCUAAGAAGGUCACAAUGGAAUGGAGAUUCAAAGGCCCAUUAAAUGGAGGUGACAAUCAGACUAAUCAACCAGGAGACCAAGCUCAGCAACAGACACAAGACACUCCCCCUCAACAGAGCAAUGAAGGUUCACAGGGCAAAGGAAAUGUGCAACCAACCGUUGACACUCAUGCACAAGAGCAACAGGGCAAUUUUCAAACACCUAUACAAUAACACAAGGAUAAUUUGGAGGCAACAGUAGAUAAAGGCAAAGCUGCAGGUACUAUGCUUGAACUGAAUCUGGUAAAUUUCUCAACACUAUCAGCUAUAACAGUGAAAAAUGCCUUCGAGCCAUUACAAAAGGAAAAUUGGAAUGCUAACACCUUACCACCUGAUAAGGGUAGGGGUCACAUGACUUGAUAAUGAAGUGGCUCUUCUGAAACAUCAGAGGUGUAAAUAAGAAAUACAAACAAAAAGAGUUUAAAAAGUAUAUUAGUAGUCAAAAAAUAAAGUUAGCAGCUAUAGUUGAAACUAGAGUCAAAGAACAUAAUGCAAGCAAGGUAAUGCUAAAAGUAAUCCCAGGGUGGAACUAUUUUACAAACUAUCAACGUGCUCCAAAUGGAAGAGUGUGGCUUAUAUGGGAUCCUCAAUGGUACACUGUUACAUUGCUAAGAACUGAAGUUCAACUUAAACAUUGUUUGGUACAGGAUAGGCUGGGUGUGGUGGAUUGUGAAGUUACAACUAUCUAUGGAUAUAAUACUCUAGAAUAAAGGAAAUAAUUGUGGGAAGCUAUAAAGGAGCUAGCAGUAAGAAUUACCAAGCUAUGGCUCUUAUGUGGUGAUUUCACUGUUAUAUUGUAUUCUAAUGACAGACUUAUGGGUAAUCCUAUUACCUAUACAAAAGUUCAGGAUUUUGUUGAUUAUAUGACUUCACUAUCUCUGAAUAAACUAUCGUGGAUAGGGAAGUAUUACACAUAGUCAAACGAACAAUAUGGUGCGGAUAGGGUAUGCAACAGGCUUGACAGAGCACUUGGUAACUUUGAAUGGAUGAUGCAGUGGGGUCACGUGACUACUGAAUAUGGCCUGCCAUUUAUUUCUGAUCAUAACCCCAUGAUACUCACCCUACACUUAGCUCCAAAACAUAGCAAAGUAUCAUUUAGAUUCUUUAAUGUUUGGGAUGAGCAUGAUAGUUUUAUUGAUAUUGUGGAAAGGAUUUGGGGACAAUCAUAUGCUACUUACAAGAUGAAGAAUGUUUGGAUGAACGUGAAGGCUCUAAGACCAAUAUUCAGAGCACUAAAUAAUGAACAAUUUAGAACUAUUAGCUUGAAGAUUGAGCAUGCUAGAGUAGAAUUAGAAAACAUACAAGGAAAGGUCAAUACAUCAUGUAAUGAUUCGCUGCUUGAAGAAGAAAGGAGCCUACUACGGAAUUUGAAAAAAUGGUCUCUCAUAGAAGAGAGUGUAUUGAAGUAGAUGUCAAGAGCAAAAUGGAUUAGGCUUGGUGAUUCAAACAUCAAGUAUUUUGCAACAGUCAUGAAGGAAAGAAGUCAGAAGAAACAACUAAAUAAAAUUAUGUCCCUCGCAGGUGAUAAACUUACCCACCCUAACAGCAUAAAGCAGGAAGUCAUGGAAUUUUACAAGUCAUUAAUAGGAUCAGCAACCCAUUCUCUCCCUGCUAUAAACAGACUGGUUAUGAGGAAUGGACUAGUAAUGUCACAACAUCAAAAUAUUAUUCUUUGUGCUAAGGUUACUGGCAAAGAAAUCUAUGCUGGACUUUGUGUUAUUGAUAGUGAUAAAGCACCAGGAAUAGAUGGAUACAAUGCUUAUUUCUUUAAGAAGGCAUGGGUGGUCAUUCAAGGUGAAGUUACUCAAGCUUUCAAAGAUUUCUUUACUAUUGGGAAAUUGUAUAAAGCUGUUAACUGUACUACUCUCACACUGGUGCCUAAAAUACCCAGUCCAAAUACAGUCAAAGAUUAUCGACCAAUUGCUUGGUGUACCAUGCUAUAUAAACUGAUACCAAAAGUGCUAGCAGCCAGGAUACAACAAGUCACUGCCUCUAUCAUCUGUGAGGCACAUGCUGGUUUCAUUCCUGGCAGGAGAAUAGUUGAUAACAUCAUACUAGCACAUGAGCUAGUAAAGGCAUGCACAAGGAAAAAUAUUUCUGACAGAUGUAUGAUCAAGAUUGAUCUUCAAAAAGCCUAUGACUCAGUAGAGUGGAGUUUUUUGGAGCAAGUUCUGAUAGAGCUGGGAUUUCCUAUGAGAUUUGUAGCAUGAAAAAUGGAGCGUGUUACCACUGUUAACUAUACGGUCAUGAUAAAUGGUGAAUCCACCCCACCUUUUGAUGUUGUUAAAGAUUUGAGGCAAGGAGAUCCUAUCUCCCUCUUCUUGUUUUCCAUAGUUAUGUAGUAUCUCAGUCGAAGUCUCAAUAGUCUCAAAGAAGUGAAAAGUUUUAGAUUUCAUCCAAGAUGUGCAAAGCUAAGAAUCACACACCUAAGCUAUGCAGAUGCCUAUUAUUUGCCAGAGGUGACCUUCCCUCAAUCUGUCACGACCUUAAACCCGAACCCGGUCAUGAUGGCGCCUCUCGGAAAGACAAGGUUAGCCACUUAAACCCAAUUCAUCUUUUUAAAUAGUUAAAUAACAUAAAAGCGGUCUAAAAUAUGAUAUAGCAAUACCAAGUAGCGAACAAUGUCAAUCAAGUGCGGAAGUACAACCCAACACAGCCCUAACCGGGGUGUCACAAGUCACGAGCAUCUAUAGACCAUACACAAGUCUGCUAAAUCCUAUACUAAUACAGAUGUUUGAUAGAUAUAGAAAUGAAAUGAUAAUAGAGACACGGGGCUGCGGACGCCAAUAACUACCUCUUAGUCUCCGAAUACCGCCUGGAACUAGAGGAAUCAGCACUCAAGAGCGGAACCAACAAUGCCUGAAUCUGCACACAGCGGUGUAGGGAGUAAAGUGAGUACUCCAACUCAGUGAGUAACAAAUAUAAAUAACAACUGAAGGUAAGAAAUCACACAAGGCACAAAGCAUUCUAUAAUAAAGUAGUAAAAAUCACUUAAAAUCAGUAAAGCCAGUAAAAAUCAACUAAAAUCCUCUUUCAACCAGUAACAAGUAAAUUGACAGAUAAUUAAGAUAAAGUGAACAAUAGAAGUUCGCCCCUUGGGCUCAGUAUCCACAAAUCCGCCCCUCGGGCAAUAUCUCAGAACAGUACCAACCCCUCGGGCUCAAUCUCAGAACAAUACCAGCCCCUCGAUCUCAAUCUCACAUCACAAUGGGUACUCGUGCUCACUGGGGGUGUACAGACUCCGGGAGGGGCCCCUUACGGCCCAAGCACAAUAACAAGCCAUCUCGUGGCAUCAAAUCUAGGCCCUCGACCUCAUAUCAAUCAAGCCACCCCGUGGCGUAUAUAUGUAUCGCAGGCCCUCGGCCUCAUAUCAGUAUCGGUGUAUCCUUACAACUAGGCACUCGGCCUUACUCAGUCCGAAAAUCAUCACAAGCCCCUCUGGCAUAAGUAAAACAGUAUUUCUCAGCCAAAAACAUUAUUUAAAAUAUCAUUUAAGUCUCAAAACUGGGUAAAAAUGGCUGAGUAGUAAAACAUCGAAAAAUAACAUGAUUGAGUUCAAGUAGUAAGUCAAAACAGUGAGGAAAUGGUAAUAAAAAUCCCCGAAAAAGUUUNNNNNNNNNNNNNNNNNNNNNNNNNCAAUCAGGACAAACCAAGUCACAAUCCCCAACAAUGCACGACCCGACGCUCGCCAUCAAGCAUGUGUCUCACCUCAAUAUAGCACUACGAUGUGCAAUCCAGGGUUUCAAACCCUCAGAGCAUCAUUUACAAUCGUUACUCACCUCGAACCAGCUAAAUCUCUAGCUCGCGACGCCUUUGCCUCUCGAAUCAGCCUCCACGUACGUCGAAUCUAUCCAAAAUCAGAACAAAUACGUCACAAUAUGCUAAGGGAACAAAGCCCAAGUGAAAACAAUCGAGAAACACAUAAAAUCCCGAAAGUAGCAAAACCCGGGCCCAUUUCUCGAAAAUCAGAAAUUUUCACAUCAAUAGAUUCUUUAUCUCUCCACGAGUUCAUACAUAUCAAAAGUUCUCAAAUCCAACCCCAAAUGGUCCUCCAAAUCCCAAAUCAAAAGUCCAAUUUCUCAAGCCCUAGUUCUUCAAUUUUAGCCCUUUAAUUCCUUUAAUUUUAGUCUUAAUCCAUGAAAUACUACCAUAGAAAUGUGUUUUAAGUGCAAAAUCCUUACCUUAACGAAGUUCUCUUGAAAUCUCCCUUCCAAAUCGUCUAAAAGCUCUCAAGCCGAAGUCAAAAAUGGUGGAAUAACUCAAACUCGCGCAAUGAAAUAACUUAUAUAUUCUGCCCAGGCCUUUCCGCAUCUGCGGUACCGUAUCUGCGGUUUACCCUCCACUUCUGCAGAAAUCGCUUAAGGGCCAAAUUUCACAUCUGAGGUCCAUAAUCCGCAUUUGCGACUCCGCAGGUGUGGCCCGUCUACCGCAUCUGCGGUUACUGACCAAUCCUCUCGAAUCCGCUUCUGCGGCUCGCGUUCCGCACGUGCGGUCAAACCGCAGGUGCGAAAACACCAGAAGCAGCAAUAUCAGCUACUGCAACCAAGUUCCAAUUUCUCUGAUAACCACCCAAAAUGAUCCCAAGGCCCCCAGGACCUCAACCAAAAGCACAAACAUAACCCGAUACCUUAUUCAAACUUGUUCCAAUCAUCAAAAUGCCUCAAACAACAUCAAAUCUACCAAAUCACAUCGAAUUCAAGCCCAAGUUUCAAAAAUCUUCUGAACUACGUUUUUGAUCAAAAAUGCAACCAAACCCCGUCCAAAUGACCUAAAAUUUUACACACACAUACCAAAUGACACAACAAAGCUAUAGCAACUCUCAGAAUUCCAUUCCGGCCCUUAUAUCAAAAUCUCACCUAUUAACCGGAAAUCGCCAAAAUAUCAACUUUGCCAAUUCAAGCCUAAAACUACUCCAACCCUCCAAAACUCAUUUCGAUCACACGUCUAAGCCAUAAAUCACCUUCCGAAGCUAACCGAACCAUCGGAACUCGUAUCCAAGCCCUCUAACACAUAACUCAACAUCCGAUUGACUUUUCCAACUCAAACCCCCCUUGAAAGAGACUAAGUGUCUCAAACCUUAGCAAAAUCACUCCGGACUCGAUCCGACCAACCCAAUACCAAAUAACACGGAUAAUGAAGCAUAAAAAAGCAGAAAUGAGGGAAACGGAGACGUGAUUCAUGAGACGACUGGUCGGGUCGUCACAUCCUCCCCAACUUAAACAAAUGUUCGUCCUCGAACGAGUCAAGAAACAUACCUAAAGCCUCAAACGGGUGAGGGUAUCUACUCCGCAUAUCCCGCUCGGUCUCCUAAGUAGCCUCCUCCACAGGCCGACCUCUCCACUGCACUUUCACUGAAGCUAUAUCCUUUGACCUCAACUUCCAAACCUGACGACCCAAAAUAGCUACUAGCUUUACAUCAUAGGUCAAAUCAUCAACCAACUGAACCGUGCUGAAAUCCAGAACAUGAGACGGAUCCCUAAUAUACUUCCAGAGCAUAGAAACAUGAAAUACCGGAUGCACACUCGACAAGCUGGGUGGCAAGGCAAGCUCAUAAGCCACCUCCCCAAUCCUUCGAAGCACCUCAAAAGCCCCAAUGAACUGCGAACUCAAUUUCCCUUUCUUCCCAAAUCUCAUAACACCCUUUAUGGGCGAAACCUUCAACAGAACCUUCUCGCCAACCAUGUAGGACACAUCUCGAACUUUUCUAUCAGCAUAACCCUUUUUCCUCGACUGCGCUGUACGAAGCCUCUCCUGAAUCACCUUUACUUUCUCCAAAGCAUCCUGCACCAAAUCAGUCCCCAAUAACCUAGCCUCACCGGGCUCGAACCAACCAACUGGAGAUCUACACCGCCUCUCAUACUAAGCCUCAUAUGGAGCCAUCUGAAUACUCGACCGGUAGCUAUUGUUAUAAGCAAACUCUAUAAGCGGUAAGAACUUAUCCCAUGACCCUCCAAAAUCAAUAACAUAAGAACGCAACAUGUCCUCCAAUAUCUGAAUAGUACGCUAGGACUGCCCGUCCAUCUGAGGAUGAAAAGUUGUGUUCAACUCCACCUGAGUACCUAACUCUCUCUACACGGCUCUCCAAAACUGCGAAGUAAACUGAGUCCCUCUAUCUGGAAUGAUGGAAAUUGGGACACCAUGCAAACGAACAAUCUCCCGGAUAUAGAUCUCUGCCAACCGCUCUGAAGAAUAGGUGGUACACAGAGGAAUAAAGUGCACGGACUUGGUCAUUCGAUCCACAAUCACCCAAAUAGCAUUGAACGUCUUCAAAGUCCGCGGAAGCCCAACAACAAAUUCCAUAGUGAUCCUUUCCCACUUCCACUCAGGAAUAACCAUCUGCUGAAGUAAACCACCCGGUCUCUGAUGCUCAUAUUUCACCUGCUGACAAUUGAGACAUCGAGCUAUAAAUCCCACAAUAUCUUUCUUCAUUCUUCUCCACCAAUAGUGCUGCCUCAAUUCCUAAUACAUCUUCGCGGCACACGGAUGAAUGGAAUACUGCGAGCUAUGGGCUUCCUCCAGAAUCAACUCCCAAAGCCCAUCUACGUUGGCCACACAAAUCCGGCCCUGCAUCCUCAACACCCCAUCAUCACCGAUGGUCAAAUCUCUAGCAUCAUCAUGCUAAACCCUGUCCCUAAGGACUAGCAAAUGCGGAUCAUCAUACUGGCGUUCCCUGAUGCGAUCUUAUAAGGAAGACCGAGAAACCACACAAGCCAAUACCCGACUAGGCUCCGAAAUAUCCAACCUCACGAACCGAUUGGCCAAGGCCUGAACAUCAACUACAAGAGGUCUCUCCCCAACUGGGAUAUAUGCCAAACUCCCCAUACUCACUGCCUUUCGGCUCAAAGCAUCGGCCACCACGUUGGCCUUUCCCGGAUGAUACAAUAUAGUGAUAUCAUAAUCCUUAAGCAACUCCAACCAUCUCCACUGCCUCAAAUUAAGAUCCUUUUGUUUGAACAAAUGCUGAAGACUGCGAUGAUCAGUGAACACCUCACAAGAUAUGCCAUACAAGUAAUGCCUCCAAAUCUUCAAAGCGUGAACUAUGGUAGCCAACUCCAAAUUAUGAAUGGGGUAGUUCUUCUCAUGGGGCUUCAAUUGACGAGAAGCAUAAGCAAUAACUCUACCCUCCUGCAUCAAUACACAACCAAUCCCAACUCUCGAAGCAUCACAAUACACGGUAUAUGAACCUAAAGCUGUUGGUAAAACCAAUACUGGAGCCGUGGUCAAAGCUGUCUUGAGCUUCUGAAAGCUCUCCUCACACUCGUCCGACCAUGCAAAUGAAGCACCCUUCUGAGUCAACUUGGUCAAGGGCCACGCGAUAGAUGAGAAUCCUUGAACAAACCGACGAUAAUAACCUGUCAAACCGAGAAAGCUACGAAUCUUUAUGGAUGAGGAUGGUCUGGGACAACUUUGAACCGCCUCUAUCUUCUUCGGAUCAACCUGAAUACCCUUGCUGGACACCACGUUCCCCAAGAAAGCCACUUAAUUGAGCCAAAACUCACACUUGGAGAAUUUUGCAUAAAGCUUCUUCUCCCAUAAUCUAUGCAACAUGACUCUCAAAUGCUCUGCGUGCUCCUCCUGACUACGCAAGUACACCAGAAUAUCAUCAAUAAAGACUAUGACAAAUGAGUCGAGAUAAGGCCGGAACACAUUGUUCAUCAAAUGCAUGAAUGUUGUUGGGGCAUUGGUCAGCCCAAAAGACAUCACCAAGAACUCAAAAUGACCAUAUCGGGUCUUGAAAGCUGUCUUAAGAAUAUCUGAAUCCCUGAUCUUCAACUGGUGAUAACCCGAACGGAGAUCAAUCUUAGAAAACACUCUCUCUCCCUGAAGCUGGUCAAAUAAAUCAUCAAUGCGAGACAAAUGAUACUUGUUCUUAACUGUUACCUUGUUCAAUUGCCUAUAAUCAAUGCACAUUCUCAUUGUGCCAUCCUUCUUCUUCACAAAAAGAAUCGGCGCACCCCCAAGGUGACACACUAGGCCGAAUGAACCCCUUAUCUAGGAGUUCCUGAAGCUGCUCCUUUAAUUCCUUCAACUCCGCUGGUGCCACACUAUAAGGCAGAAUAGAAAUGGGCUGAGUACCCGGCACCAGGUCAAUACCAAAAUCAAUGUCCCUGUCCGGUGGCAUGCCCGGCAGGUCUGCAGGAAACACAUCGGGAAAAUCCCUCACAACUGGGACAGAAUCAAGACUGGGAGUCUCAGCUCCUACAUCCCUCACAAAUGCUAGAUACGAGAGACAACCCUUCCCAACCAUACGCUGGGACUUCAAGAAAGAGAUCACCUUACUAGGAACAUAAUCAGUCACACCUUGCCACUCGAUUUGUGGCACACCCGGCAUAGCCAAUGUGACUGUCUUAGCAUGACAGUCCAGAAUAGCACGACACGGAGAUAGCUAAUCCAUGCCCAAAAUGACAUCAAAAUCCACCAUGCUCAAUAGCAAUAGAUCCAUUCGGGUCUCCAGACCCCCAAUAAUCACCAUACACGACCGGUACACACGGUCUACAAAAAUAGUAUCGCCCACCAGGGUAGAUACAUGAACAGGUAAAGCAAGAAACUCAUAGGGCGUACCCAAAUAACGAGCAAAGUAUGAUGACACAUAGGAAAGGUGGAACCGGGAUCAAAUAAUACUGAGUCAUCUCUGUAACAGACUGAAACAAUACCUGUAAUGACAGCAUCUGAAGCAAUAAUAUCGGGUCUACCUGGGAGUGCAUAGAAACAGGCCUGACCGCCCCCUGAUCGACCUCCCCCUCUAGGGUGACCCCUGGAUGACUAACCUCCACCCCUAGCUGGCUGAGCGGGUGGUGAUGAAGAGACUAGCGCUGAAGCCGAUGACUGGCCCCUCUUCAGCAACCCAAUAAGGACAUUGCCUCCAUAUGUGGCCCAUCUCUCCACACUCAUAACAACUCCUAGGUGCUGGAGAAGGGGACUGAAGGGAACCCCUCGCAACGAAGUGACUAGCAUAUGUACUCGGCAUAAAAGAGCCCUGAGAUAAUAGGGCACGAGAUGAACUCUGAGCUGGGAGGGCGCUGGGUGAUGAUUGUCCCUGCUGAGAUCCAUGAUAACCAUGACCUGAAGAUGCCCCACGAUAACCUGGGCGAGCUAACUGAACAUGCCUGAAUGAAUGGCCUCUACCAUACUGAAACUGGCCCCUCGAAGGAGCACCACUAUAACUGCCCGAUCCUCGAGGCCUCUUGGCCUUCCCCUCCUCUCGCUCCUGCCGGUGAACCGACUCAAUCUCACGGGCGAUAUCAACCACCUCCUCGAACGUAGCACUAGAUACCCUCUCUCGGGUCAUAAGAAUACGGAGCUGAUAAGUAAGACCAUCAACAAAUCUCCUGAUCCUCUCUCGAUUUGUCGAAACUAUCCAGAUGGCAUGACGAGCCAACUCAGAAAACCUCAACUCAUAUUGUGACACAGUCGUAUCCCCCUGUCGCAACCACUCAAACUGUCUACGCAGCUCCUCUCUGCGGGACUGCGGCACAUACUUCUCCAGGAAGAGAACGGAGCAUUGCUGCCAAGUAAGGGGAGCUGUACCAACAGGACUACGCCUCUUAUUUGCCUUCCACCAAGUGAAGGCAGCCCCAAGAAACUGAAAGGUAGUAAAUUCCACACCGCUAGGCUCAAGAAUCCCUGUUGUAUGAAGAAUCCGCUGGCACUUAUCCAAGAAACCCUGGGCAUCCUCGCCCUCUACUCCGUUGAAUGUCGGAAGUUGGAGUCUACCAAACCUUUCAAGUCGACGCUGCUCAUCAUCCGGCAUAACUGGCACAACAAACUCCUGAGCUGGUGCAACCGGUUGGGCUGGAGGUUCCCCCGGCGUCUAAAGUCUUGAACUACCUACUCAGGUAUGCGAGCGGUGAGAGUCUGAUUGCCUCCCCCGGCCUGUGAAGUACCUACGGUUGUAGUGGCUGAAACUGCCUGAGCCAGGCCAGUGCAAACUGAUAAGAUUUGUGCUAAGGCCUCUUGAAGACCCAAAAUCACGAUGGGCACAGCUAGUGCCUGAACUGGCUCUGCAGGAGCGUCCAUGGCUGGAGCCUGAUCCUGAGUUGGGGCAGCUGGUGGAUCUACAGAUGUUUCCCUUGCUGCUCUGCCUCUACCACGACCACGGCCACAUCCUCGGCCUCUGGUGGCCAUAGUUGGUGGCACUGGUGGUUGUCUACCCUGUCCAGUAGGCGUGUCCUUACCAUCUGUGAGAGAAUAGAAUAACGGAAGUUCAGUACUCGGAUUAACAAGUUUGCACGAUAAGAAUUUCAAGAAUAUAAAGCUUUUCCUAAGGGUUCUGUAGCCUCUCGAGAAUAAAUACAGACGUCUUCGUACCGAUCCGCGAGACUCUAUUAAACCUGUUCAUGACUCGUGAGACCUAUGUAACCUAGGAUCUGAUACCAACUUGUCAUGCCCCUAAACCCAAAACCGGUCGUGAUGGCACCUCUCAUGAAGACAAGGCCAUCCACUUAAACCCAAUUCAUCUUUUUAAACAGUUAAAUAACAUAAAAGCAAUCUAAAACAUGAUAUAGCAAUACCAAGUAGCGAACAAUGCCAAUCAAGUGCGGAAGUACAACCCAACACAGCCCUAACCGAGGUGUCACAAGUCAUGAGCAUCUAUAGACCAUACAUAAGUCUGCUAAAUCUAAUACUAAUACAGAUGUUUAAUAGAUAUAGAAAUGAAAUGAUAAUAGAGACGCAGGGUUGCGGACUCCAACAGCUACCUCGUAGUCUCCGAAUACCGCCUAGAACUGGAGGAAUCAGCACUCAGGAGCGCAACCAAUAACGCCUGAAUCUGCACACAGGGGUGCAGGGAGUAAAGUGAGUACUCCAACUCAGUGAGUAACAAAUGUAAAUAACAACUGAAGGUAAGAAAUCACACAAGGCACAAAGCAUUCUAUAAUGAAGUAGUAAAAUCACAUAAAAAUCAGUAAAGCUAGUAAAAAUCAAAUAAAAUCCUCUUUCAACCAGUAAAUAGGUAAAUUGACAGAUAAUUAAGAUAAAGUGAACAAUAGAAGUUCGCCCCUCGGGCUCAGUAUCCACAAAUCCGCCCCUCGGACAAUAUCUCAGAAUAGUACCAGCCCCUCGGGCUCAAUCUCAGAACAAUACCAACCCCUCUGGCUCAAUCUCACAUCACAAUGGGUACUCGCGCUUACUGGGGGUGUACAGACUCCGGGAGGGGCCCCGUACGGCCCAAGCGCAAUAAUAAGCCAUCUCGUGGCAUCAAAUCUAGGCCCUCGACCUCAUAUCAAUCAGCCACCUCGUGGCGUAUAUAUGUAUCUCAGGCCCUUAGCCUCAUAUCAGUAUCAGUGUAUCCUCACAACUAGGCCCUCGGCCUUACUCAGUCCGAAAAUUAUCACAAGCCCCUCGGGCAUUAGUAAAACAAUAUUUCUCAUCCCAAAACAUCAUUUAAAAUAUCAUUUAAGUCUCAAAACUAAGUAAAAAUGGUUGAGCAGUAAAACAUCAGAAAAUAACAUGACUGAGUUCAAGUAGUAAGUCAAAACAGUGAGGAAAUAGUAAUAAAAUCCCCGAAGGAUUCAAAUAAUUGGCACGAAGCCCAAAUAUGGUAAUCAACCCAAAUCAUGAUGAUGGCAAAUAAGUUUCAGUCAAAUACACGGUAAAAUCAUCAAUCGGGACGGACCAAGUCACAAUCCCCAACAAUGCACGACCCUACGCUCGCCAUCAAGCAUGUUUCUCACCUCAAUAUAGCACUACGAUGUGCAAUCCGGGGUUUCAAACCCUUAGAGCAUCAUUUACAAUCAUUACUCACCUCGAACCGGCUAAAUCUCUAGCUCGCAACGCCUUAGCCCUUCGAAUCGGCCUCCAUGCACAUCGAAUCUAUCCAAAAUCAGAAUGAAUACGUCACAAUAUGCUAAAGGAACAAAGCCCAAGCGAAAACAAUCGAAAUCCACCUAAAAUCCCAAAAUUAGCAAAACCCGAGCCCCGGGCCCACUUCUCGAAAAUCAGAAAAAAAUUCACAUCAAUAGAUUCCUUAUCUCUCCACGAGUUCAUACAUAUCAAAAGUUCUCAAAUCCGACCCCAUAUGGUCCUCCAAAUCCCAAAUCAAAAAUCCAAUUUCUCAAGCCUUAGUUCUUCAAUUUUAGCCCUUUAAUUCAUUUAAUUUCAGUCUUAAUCCAUGAAAUACUACCAUAGAAAUGUGUUUUAGGUCCAAAAUCUUUACCUUAACGAAGUUCCGUUGAAAUCUCCCUUCCAAAUUGUCCAAAGGCUCUCAAGUCGAAGUCAAAAAUGGUGGAAUAACUCAAACUCGCGAAAUGAAAUAACUUAUAUGUUCUGCCGAGGCCUUUCCGCAUCUGCGGCACUUUAACCGCAUCUGCGGUACCACAUUUGCGGUUUACCCUCCACUUCUGCGGAUAUCACUUAACGGCCAAAUUUCGCAUCUGCGGUCCAUACUCCGCAUUUGCGACUCCGCAGGUGCGGCCCGUCUACUGCAUCUGCGGUUACUAACUAAUCCUCUCGAAUCUGCUUCUGCGGCUCGCGUUCCGCACGUGCGGCACCGCACUUGCAAUCCCCAAACCGCAGGUGCGAAAACACCAGAAGCAGCAAUAUCAGCUGUUGCAACCAAGUUCCAAUUUCUCUGAUAACCACCCGAAAUGAUCCCAAGGCCUCCGGGACCUCAACCAAAAGCACAAACAUAACCCGAUACCUUAUUCAAACUUGUUCCAAUCAUCAAAACACCUCAAACAACAUCAAAUCUACCAAAUCACAUGGAAUUCAAGCCCAAGUUUCAAAAAUCUUCCGAACUACGUUUUUGAUCAAAAAUCCAACCAAACCACGUCCGAAUGAUCUGAAAUUUUACACACACAUCCCAAAUGACACAACGAAGCUACAAUAACUCUCAGAAUUUCAUUCCGACCCUUAUAUCAAAUCUCACCUAUUAACCGGAAAUCGCCAAAAUAUCAACUUUGCCAAUUCAAGCCUAAAACUACUUCAACCCUCCAAAACUCAUUCCGAUCACACUCCUAAGCCAUAAAUCACCUUCCGAAGCUAACUGAACUGUUGGAACUCGCAUCCGAGUCCUCUAACACAUAAGUCAAUAUCCGGUUGACUUUUCCAACUCAAACACCCCUUAAAAGAGACUAAGUGUCUCAAACCUUAACAAAACCACUUCAGACUCUAUCCGACCAACUCGAUACCACAUAACACGGAUAAUGAAGCAUAAAGAAGUAGAAAUGGGAAAAAUGGAGUGGUGACUCAUGAGACGACUGGUCGGGUCAUCACACAAUCUCUACUAUGCAUAGAAGUUUUAGUCAAUUUUCCCAAGUAUCUGGACUACAAGAAAAUCUGAGGAAAAGCUCAGUGUAUUUUGAGGGAGUCCCUCAGACUAUAAGAGUAGAGAUCCUGCAGCAGUUAGGCUUCACAGUGGGAGAACCGCCUUUCAAAUACCUUGGUAUCCCACUUGCUACCAAAAAGCUCUCAUUGAUACAAUAACACCCUUUGGUAGAAAAGAUAGUUGCAAAGAUUUCUUCCUGGACAACAAAGAAAUUAUCAUAUGCUGGUCGUGUGCAGCUUGUUUGAACUGUGCUCUUUGGUAUUCAAUCUUAUUGGUCGCAGCUAUUCACUCCGCCUUCAAUGUUCUUGAAGAUUAUUGACUCAUUCUGUAGAAGCUACAUCUAGUCUGGGGUAAAUGUGAUCGCAAAAAAGGCUUUGGUAGCCUAAGACAAAAUGUGUACACCUAAAUCAAGCGGGGGCCUAAACAUGAUUAAUUUGCAUCUAUGGAACAAGGCUGCUCUAGCAAAAAAAUGUUGGAAGUAGCACACAAGCAAGAUCGACUAUGGAUAAGAUGGAUACAUGCUUUCUACAUCAAAGACAAACUGUUUGAAGAGGUGGCAAUUCCCCAACAAGCAAGCUGGAUGGUGAGACAAAUCCUAAAUGCUAGAACAAAUCUUCAACAGGUGCAGCAUCAACAACAUCAAAGAAAGAGUAUGAUCAAUAGUUUCUACUUGCAGUUGCUGGGUGACAGACCAAGAGUUAACUAGAAAUGCUUGAUAUUCCAAAACAAUUCCAGGCCAAAAGCUAUAUUUACCAUGUGGUUGCAACUACAUGGGAGAUUACUGACUCCAGAUAGGCUGAUACAAUGGGGUUUAGUUGUAUAUCCAAAGUGGUCAUUAUGCCAAGCUCAUGAUGAGAACAAGGAGCACUUGUUUGUUAACUGUCGAUUUACAAAGGAAUUGUAGCAAAGAAUCCUACAUUGGAUGCAAAGGCAGGAUGUUGCGAGAGAUAACUGGGAACAAAAUAUGCAAUGGGUGAUACAAUGUGUUAAGGACAUGACACAACGAUCUCAACUCUACAGGAUGGUAUAUACUGAGAUAACUCACUUCAUUUGGAUUGAAAGGAACCUGAGGCUGUUUGAAAAGAGAAGCAGAGGAGUUUAUAGUAUUGCACGAGAGUUAGCCUACAUAUGUAACGUGAGAGCCACCACUGGGAUUAGUAGCAUGGUACAACAUUUUAUGUUUUAAUAGAGACAGUGCUUUAGAAGUUUGUAAGAGUUAUAGUUGUUGAGGUAUAAGUAGGCUAUUGAUAUGUAAAGUUACUGGUGAUUAAUAAAAUCGUUAGUUACAAAAAAAAGGAAAUUUACUCAAAUUUAUGAAUUUCUAUUUGCUAAUAAUUUCUCACAAUCAUUUAUCUAAUUACAGUGGAUGUAACUAUAUAUAUAUAUAUAUAUAUAUAUAUAAAGAGAGAGAGAGAAAGAGCACCAAUUUUGUUAUUAUUUUUAUAUCAUCAUUUUGAUUUACACAUAAUGAGAACUUUUUUCACGCAAUCAAAACUUUUCACAUGCUUGUAUGUCACGGCCCAAAACUUAGCCUGUCGUGAUGGCACCUAACAUGGUACUAGGAAAGCCGACGCCUCAAACAUUUCCAACAAUUUUAAAUAAAGAAUGAAGUAUCACAUGUUUGAAUGAUUAAAGCUCUCAUAAACUGGAUAGAAAGUCAAAACUCAAUAUGAAAGUUCCCAAAACCAGGGUGUCACUAAGAACAUGAGCGUCUAUACAGCAAAAGUCUAAAAAUACUGCCUAUAAAAAGCUGAAACUAAAUACAUAAAACUGAAAAAUAGGGAGGAAAAGUCAAGGUCUGUGAACGCCGGGCAGCUACCUCGAAAUCUCCGAAUGAUCAAGCUGCUCAGAUAAUCAGCACACACCGUGUUCGGUAACACUUGGAUUUGCACACGAAGUGCAGGGUAUAGCAUGAGUAGAACCAACUCAGUAAGUAACAAGACUAACUAUUCGACUGAAAGUAGUGACGAGAUUCACGGAUACAGUUCUAUUACAGAAAAUAUAAUACAGGAAAAUAGGCAUGCUUUCAAGUUCGACAUCUAAAGCCAAAACAGUUAAUUCAUGUCAAGUUCAAUUAAAACAGGAUAUAGUAUAUCUCAAAGACUAAAUGACAGUGAUAUAUGCCAACUGAAAUACAACAGUAAUGAAAUCAAGUGCAUAUUCUCAAAGUAACAGUCACUUAGUCCUACCAUUCACUCCAACCUCACAGUCUCUUAAUUCUCCGUCGCUCGGCACUCGCGCUCGCAGUCAGUAGGUACCUGCACUUACUAUGGGUGUGCAGACUCCGGAGGGGCACCUUCAGCCCAAGCGCUAUAAUAAGCCAAUCAUGGUAUUAAUCAAUAAAACAUGAUACGACGUGCAGCCCGAUCCUAAUAAACAUCCACACAAUCAAGCCCUCGGCCUCACUCAAUCCUCAACCUGAACAGUCUCUCGGGCUUUCAAUAAUCAUGAUAAUCAGCCCAAACAGUGAUGAUAUAAUGUAUCAAUAAAGAACAACAGAAAGUGAGAUAUAAUAUGCAAGUGAAAAAUGUGACUGAGUACAAAGUGGUAAUUUAGCAGAUAAUUCAACAUGUAACACGACAUCUAUGGAUCCCUACAGUAUAACACCUAACCUAAGCAUGAUUUCUAACAUGAUUUGUGGUUCAAUUUCUAUAACACAUGGAGAAUAUACGGUUGACAACAGAUUAUUCAACUAUACAAUUCCAUGGAAUUGACCAAGUCACAAUUACUAUGGUGCACGCCUACACGGCCGUCACCUCACCGCAAUGCCAAUCACAUGACACGUAACUCAGGGUUUCAUACCCUCAGAUCCAAGUUUAGAACUGUUACUUACCUCAAAUCGUGCAAAUCCCUACUCCAAAAUGCCCUUGCCCCGCGAAUCGGCCUCCGAACCUCUUGAAUCUAGCCACAAACAAUUUGAUACAAUCAACACGAGCUAAAGGAAUCAAUUCCAUAAGAAAAUACUAAGUUAUUAAUCAAAAGUCAAAAAGUCGACUAAAAAGCGAGCCCCCGAGCCCAUGUCUCGGAAUCCAAUAAAAGUCACAAAAUCUAGAAGCCUAUUCCACCACGAGUCUAACCAUACCAAAUUUACCAAAAAGCGAUAUCAAAUCGCCACUCAAAUCCCCAAAUUAAACUCUCCAAAUCCCUAGCCUCAAACUCCCAAAUUUCACCUCAAAAACACACAAACUGGGUGGGAAAUCCAAUGGGAAACAUAAUUAUUGAGUAAAUUUAACCACAAGUGACUUACCUCAAGAAUCCCUUUGAAACCCCCUCAAAAAUUGCCUAAUCCCGAGCUUAGAAUGCUCAAAAUGAAGAAAAUCACAAAACCCUCUAAUUUAAAGUUCUGUCCAGCCUUUUCACUCAUGCGGAAACUUAACUGCAUCUGCGGUGUCGCAGAAGCGACAAUCCUUCCGCUUCUAUGGUGAACCACUAAAAUUGGGCCUUCGCACCUACGAACCAUGCUCCGCUCCUGCGCAAACGCAGGUGCGACCUUCUUUCCCGCUCCUACACUAGCCUUCGCUUCUGCGCUCAACCUCUCCGCAUCUGCGACCACGCAGGUGCGGAAAGUCCUUCGCACAUGUGACCAUAGCCUUCCUCACUCCAGGCCGCAUCUGCACUCCCCAGCUUGCACCUGCGAGCUCACACCCACAACCAAAGCUCCGCAGGUGCGAUUGCACCAGAAGACUCCCUGCUUCAGCAAUCUUUCAAACUCUAAAUUUGAUCUAUUAACCAUCCGAACUCCACCCGAGCCCCAGGACCUCCACUAAUCAUACCAACAAGUCCUAAAACAUGAUACUAACUUAGUCAAACCCUCAAACCACAUCAAUCACCAUAAAAAAUAUGAAUCGCACCCCAAUUCAAGCCUAAUGAAAACUAAGGAAUUCUAACUUCCGCAAACGAUGCCGAAACCUAUCAAAUCACUUCCGAUUAACCUUAAAUUUUGCACACAAGUCACAAAUGACACCACCGACCUACUCCACCUCCUAGAACCCUAAUCUUAGCCCGGUAUCCACAAAGUCCACUCUCGGUCAAACAUCCAAAUUUCCAACUUUUACCAUUUCAAACCUAAUUCAACUACAGACCUCCAAAUCACAAUCCGGACACACUCCUAAGUCCAAAAUCACCCAACGAAGCUAGCAAAUCCAUCAAAACUCCAUUACGGAGUCAUUUACACAUAUGUCAACGUCCAGUUAACCAUCUCAACUUAAGCUUUCAACCUUGAGACUAAGUGUCUCAAUUCAUUCUGAAACCUCUCCGGACCCGAACCGACUAAUCUGGCAAGUCACAUAGCAGAUAUAAAGCAUAAAAUGAGCAGUAAAUGAGGGAAUAGGGCUACAACUCUCAAAACGACCGGUCAGGUCGUUACAUCCCCCCCUAAACUGGUUGACCUCUCCACUGCACCUUCACUCAAUCUAUGUCCUUUGACCUCAACUUUCGAACCUGCCGAUCCAAAAUAGCCAUCGGCUCCACAUCGUAAGUCAAAUUACCAUCCAACGGAACCGUACUAAAUUCUAAAACAUGAGACGAAUCAGUGACAUACUUUCGAAGCUUAGAAACAUAAAAUAUUGGAUACACACUCGACAAGCUAGGUGGCAAAGCAUGCUUGUAAUCCACCUCUCUAAUCCUCUAAAGUACCUCAAAUGGCCCAAUAUACCGAGGGCUCAACUUGAUUUUUUACCCGAACCACAUAACACCCUUCAUGGGUGAAACCUUGAGCAGAACCUUCUCCCCAACCAUGUAAGCAACAUCACGAGCCUUCUGAUCGACGCAACUCUUCUAUCUAGACUGCGUUGUGCGAAUCCGAUCCUGAAUAAAUUUAUCCUUGUCCAAAGCAUCCUGAACCAAGUCAGUAUACCCAAUAUCCUAGCCUCACUGGGAUCAAACCAACCCACCAGAUAUUGACAUUGUCUCCCAUACAAAGCCUCAUACGGAGCCAUCUGAAUGCUCGACUAGUAGCUGUUGUUGUAGGCAAAUUCUGCGAGUGACAGAAACUGAUCCCAAGAACCCCCAAAAACAAUGAUGAAAGUGUGUAGCAUGUCCUCCAAUAUAUGAGUAGUACGCUUGGAUUGUCCUUCCAUUCGAGGGUGAAAUGUUUUACUCAACUCAACCUAGGUGCCCAACUCUCGCUGUACCGCUCUCUAAAAUUGCGAUGUAAACUACGUGCCCCGAUCUGAAAUGAUGGACAGGGGCACACGGUAAAGGCAAACAAUCUCGUGGAUGUAAAUCUCAAUCAACUGCUCCAAAGAAUAAGUAGUCCCAACUAGAAUGAAGUGCGCGGACUUGGUUAGCCGAUCCACAAUCAUCCAAAUAGCAUGAAACUUCCACAAAGUCAGUGGGAGCCCAACUACAAAAUCCAUGGUGAUACGCUCCCAUUUCUACCCAGGAAUCUCAUGCCUCUGAAGCAAUCCACUCGGUCUUUGAUGCUCAUACUUCACAUGCUGACAGUUAAGGCACCGGGAUACAAACUCCACUAUAUCCUUUUUCAUUCCCCUCCACCAAUAGUGUUGCCUCAAGUCCUGGUACAUCUUUGCGACACCCAGAUUAAUGGAAUACCGCAAACUAUGGGCCUCCUCAAGAAUCAACUCAUGUAUCCCAUCUACAUCAGGCACACAAAUCCGAAUCUGCAUCCUUUAUAACCCACCAUCACCGAUAGUAACAUCCUUGGCAUCGCCAUACUGAACCAUAUCCUUAAGGACAAGCAAAUGAGGAUCAUCAUAAUGGCGCUCUCUGAUGCGAUCAAAUAAGGAAGGCCGAGAAACCACAGAAGCCAGAACCUGACUGGGCUCUGAAAUAUUUAAUCUCAUGAACUAGUUUGCCAAGGCCUGAGCAUCAACUGCAAGUGGUCUCUUACCAACAGGAAUGAAUGCAAGGCUACCCAUGCUCACCGCCUUCCUACUCAAGGCAUCGGCCACCAUAUUGGCCUUCUCGGGAUGAUAAAGAAUAGUAAUAUCAUAGUCCUUUAGCAUGUCCAACCAUCUCUGCUGCCUCAAAUUUAGAUCAUUUUGUUUGAACAAGUGCUGGAGACACUGAUGAUUCGUAAAUACCUCAAAAGAUACACCAUAGAGAUAAUGCCUCCAAAUCUUCAAUGCAUGAACGAUGGCAACCUACUCCAAAUCGUGGAGAGGUAGUUCUUCUCAUGAGGCUUUAACUGACAUAAAGCAUAAGCAAUCACUCUGCCCUCCUGCAUCAAGACACACCCAAUACCAAUCCGAGAAGCAUCACAAUACACUAUAUAAGAGCCUAAAGCUGAAGGUAGAACUAGAAUUGGAGUUGUGAUCAAGGUAGUCUUGAGCUUUUAAAAGCUCUCAUCACACUCAUCCGACCACCUGAAAGUAGCACCCUUCUGGGUCAAUUUGGUCAAAGGCGAUGCAAUAGACGAGAAACCCUCCACGAAGCGACGAUAAUAACCGACCAAGCCGAGAAAGCUCCGAAUCUCAGUAGUUGAGGACGGCCUGGGCCAACUCUGAACUGCCUCUAUCAUUUUUGGAUCCACCUGAAUCCCCUCACUGGACACCACAUGCCCCAAGAACGCCACCGAACUAAGCCAAAACUUACACUUGGAGAACUAGGCAUAAAGCUUCUCCUCCCUCAACAGCUGCAACACAAUCUUCAAAUGUUGGGCAUGUUCCUCCGGGCCACGAGAGUACACCAGGAUAUCAUCAAUGAAUACUAUGACAAACGAGUCGAGAUAAGGCUGAAAUACAUUGUUCAUUAGAUGCCUGAAUGUUGUUGGGGCAUUGAUCAGCCCAAAAGACAUCACAAGGAACUCAUAAUGAAUAUAACGGUUCCUGAAUGCUGUCUUUAGAAUAUCUGAGUCCCGAAUCUUCAACUGGUGAUACCCAAACCUCAAAUCAAUCUCAGAGAACACCCUCGCUCCUUGAAGCUGGUCAAAGAGAUCAUCAACACGUGACAUAGGAUACUUGUUCUUGAUUGUAAAUUUGUUCAACUGCCUAUGGUCUAUGUAUAUCCGCAUAGUACCAUCCUUCUUCUUCACAAACAAAACCGGUACACUGUAAGAUGACACACUAGGCCUAAUAAACCCCUUAUCAAAAAGUUCUUGAAGUUGCUCUUUCAAUUCUUUCAACUCAGUUGGUGCCAUACAAUACGGAGGAAUAGAAAUGGGCUGAGUGCCCAGCACCAAGUCAAUAUUCCUGUUGGGUGGCAUGCCCUACAGGUCUGCAGGAAAUACAUCUGGGACAUCUUGCACCAUUGGGACAGAACCAAUAGUAGGGGUAUCAGUACCAACAUCCCUCACAAAGGCCAAAUAAGAUAAACAACGCUUCCCAACCAUCCAUUGGGUCUUCAAAUAUGAAAUCACUCUGCUGGGAACAUAAUCUAGAGAACCUCUCCACUAUUUAGUUUAGUUUUGUCUUAUGUCAGCCAAGAGAGCAGAGAGUCUAUAUAUAUAUAUAUAUAUAUAUAUAUAUAUAUAUAUAUAUAUAUCAGCUUUUGGGUAUGUUUACCCCACACAUAAGAGAAACAUUAUUUUUAGACGAUUCAGAAUAUGGACUCCUCGGCCUAAGUUGAGAAUUACCCCUCCAGAGUUCAUAGUUAUAGAGUGGUACGCUCGGGCUGAGUACAGCAUCGGGUACCGGCCACGCCUCUUCAAGUUUGGGGCGUGACAGACAACCCCUGUUGUAGUAGAACUGACCCCCUGAAGGAACACCGUUGAAACUACCCAAUCCACGAGGCCUCUUGGCCUCCCUUUCCUCGCACUCCUGACUACAAACCAUCUCUAACCGAUGAGAAAUAUCAACCACCUCAUUGAAUCGAGCACCAGAUACACUCUCUUGAGUCAUAGCAAAAUGCAACUGAUAGGUGAGGCCACCAAUGAACCUCCUAAUCCUCUCCCUCUCAGUGGGAACCAAUCAAACUGCGUGACGAGCCAACUCUGAAAAUCUCAUCUCAUACUGGGUCACAGAUAGGCCAUCUUGGCGUAGCUGCUCGAACUGCCUACGCAGCUCCUCCCUACGGGUCGGUGACAUAAACUUCUACAAGAAGAGAACAAAGAACUCAUACCAUGAAAGUGGUGUAGCACCGACUAGCCUUCUCCUCUCAUAGGUCUCCCACCAUCUGAAGGCAGCCCUAGUAAACGGAAAAGUAGUGAACGAGACCCCACUGCUCUCCAGAAUACACGCGGUUAAAGAAUCCGAUGACACCUAUCUAAGAAGUCCUGAGCAUCAUCUGACUCAGCCCCAUUGAAUGAUAGAGUCUGGAGUCUCUCAAACCUCUCAAGUGUCUUCUGCUCAUCCUCACUCAUAACGGUACCCACCUGGUCCUAAGCAGCUGCAACCGGCUAGGAUGGCAAUACCCCCAGCAUCUAAUGUCCCUGCUUCACCUACUCUAGAGUAUGGGUGGUGGGAGUUUGAGUACCUCCCUCGUCUUAAGAAGUGGCUGGCAUGGUCUGAAUAGAAACGGCUUGAGCGAGGCUAGUGCACAUAGUAAAAAUCUAAGCCAAAGCCUCCUGAAGGCCUGGAAUUACAAUGGGCACAGCCGGUGCCUGAGUUGGCCCCACUGGCUAAACUACAUCUAGAACCUGCUCCUGAGCUAGAGCAACUGGUGGAUCUGCACGUGCUGCUCUAGCUGUUGUACGAGAUGCACCUCUUCCCCUACCGCGACCUCAGCCUCUCGUGACUCUAGCUGGUGGUACUAGUGGUUGUCCAUCCUGCCUAGUAGCACGUGUCCUCACCAUCCAUAGAGAAUAGAAUAACAGAAACUUAGUUUUCGGAAUCAACAAAUCCGUACGACAAGAAUACAAGAAUGUGAAGUUUCCUAAGGGUUCGACAGCCUCUCGAAGAUAAGUACUAACGUCUCCGUAUUGAUUUGCAAGACUCUACUAAACAUGUUCAUGACUCAGGAGACCUAUGUAACCUAGGCUCUGAUACCAACUUGUCACGACCCAAAACUUAGCCUGUCGUGAUGGCGCCUAAUGUGGUACUAGGCAAGCCAACGACACCUCAAACAUUUCCAACACUUUUAAAUGAAGUAACACAGGUUUGAAUAAUUAAAGCUAUCAUAAACUAGAUAGAAAGUCAAAACUCAAUACGGAAGUUCCCAAAACCAGGGUGUCAUUGAGUACAUGAGCAUCUAUACAACACAAGUAUGAAAAUACUGCCUAUGAAAAGCUUAAAGUAUAUACAUAAAGCUGAAAGAUAUGAAGGGAGAGUCAAGGACUGCCAAUGUCGGGCAGCUACCCGUAAUCUCCGAAUGAUCAAGUUGCUCAGAUAAUCAGCACCCACUGUGUUCGGAAACACCUGGAUCAGCACACAAAAUGUAGGGUGUAGCAUGAGUACAAUUAACUCAGUAAGUAACAAGACUAACUAUUGGACUGAAAGUAGUGACGAGCUUCACAGAUACAAUUCUAUUACAUAAAAUAUAUACAGGAAAAUAGGCAUGCUUUCAAGUUCGACUUCUAAAACAAAAACAGUUAAUUCAUGUCAAGUUCAAUUGAAAUAGGAUAUAGUAUCUCUCAGAGACUAAAUGACAGUGAUAUAUGCCAGCUGAAAUACAACAGUAAUGAAAUCAAGUGCAUAUUCUCAAAGUAACAAUCACUCAGUCCUGCCAUUCACUCCAACCUCACAGUCACUCAUUCAUCACAGUCUCUCAAUUCUCCCAAUCGCUCGACAUUCGCACUCAGUAGGUACAUGUUCUCACUAUAGGUGUGCAGACUCCGGAGGGGCUCCUUCAGCCCAAACGCUAUAAUAAGCCAAAUGUGGCAUAAAUCAGUAAAACAUGUUGUGGCGUGCAUCCCGAUCCCAAUAAAUAUUCACACAAUCAGGCCAUCGGCCUCACUGAGUCAUCAACCUCACCAGUCUCUCGGGCUCUCAAUAAUUAUGAUAAUCGACCCAAACAACAAUGAUAUAAUGUAUAAAUAAAGAACAAUAAAGAGUGAGAUAUAAUAUGUAAGUAAAAAUUUAUGACCGAGUACAAAGUGGAAAUUUAGCAGAUAAUUCAACAUGUAGCACACCCUCUGUGGGUCCCUACAGUAUCACCACAUAGCCUAAGCAUGAUUUCUAACAUGAUUUGUAGUUCAAUUUCUGUAACACAUGGAGAAUAUACGGAUAACAACAGAUUAUUCAACUAUACAGUUCCAUAGUAAUGACCAAGUCACAAUUACUACGGCUCACACUCACACGCAUGUCACCUAGCAUGUGUGUCACCUAAACACCAAUCACAUGACACGUUAAUCAGGUUUUCAUAUCAGAACCAAGUUUAGAACUGUUGCUUACCUCAAAUCGCAAAUCCCUACAAAAACACGCCCUUGCCUUGUGAAUCGGCCUCCGAAUGUCUUGAAUCUAGCCACAAAUAAUUUGAUACAAUCAAUACAAGCUAAAGAAAUCAAUUCCAUAAGAAAAUACUAAGUUAUUAAUCAAAAGUCAAAAAGUCAACUCAAAAGUUGACCCGAAGCCCACAUCUCAGAAUCCAAUAAAAGUCAAAAAAUCGAGAAGCCUAUUCCACCAAGAGUCUAAUCAUACUAAAUUUACCAAAAUCCGAUAACAAAUUGCCUCUCAAAUCCCCAAAUCAAACUCUCCAAAUUCCUAGCCUCAAACUCAUAAAUUUCACCUCAAAAACAUACAAACUAGGUGGAAAAUUCAAUAGGGAAACAUAAUUAUUGAGUAAAUUUAACCACAAGUGACUUACCUCAAGAAUCCCUUCGAAACCCCCCUCAAAAAUCGCCUAAUGCCGAGCUUAGAAUGUUCAAAAUGAAGAAAAUCAUGGAACCCUCAAAUUUAAAGUUCUGUCCAUCCUUUUCGCUCCUACGAAAACUUAACCGCAUCUACGGUGUCACAAAAGCGACAAUCCUUCCGCUUCUAUGGUGAACCAUUGAAAUUGGGCCUUCGCACCUAUGGACCAAGAUCCACUCCUGUGCAAACACAAGUGCGACCCUGUUUCCCGCUCCUGCGCUGGCCUCCGCUUCUGCGCCCAACCUCUCCGCAUUUGUGACCAAUAGGUGCGGAAAAUCCUUUGCACCUGCGACCAUACCCUUCCUCACUCCUAGCCGCACUUGCGCUCCCCAGCUCGUACCUGCGACCAAAGCUCCGCAAGUGUGAUUGCACCAGAAGACUCCUAGCUUCAGCAAUCUUUCAAACUCUAAAUUUGAUCUAUUAACCAUCCGAACUCCACCCAAGGCCCCUGGAACCUUCACUAAACAUAUCAACAAGUCCUAAAAAAUGAACAAACUUAGUCAAUCCCUAAAAACACAUCAAAUAACAUCAAAAAUACGAAUCGCACCCCAAUUCAAGCCUAAUGAAAACUAAGGAAUUCCAACUUAUGCAAACGAUGUCGAAACCUAUCAAAUCACUUCCGAUUGACCUCAAGUUUUGCACACAGAUCACAAAUGACAACACAGACCUGCUCCAACUCUCAGAACACUAAUCUGAGCCCAGUAUCCACAAAGUCCACUCUCGGUCAAACUUCCAAAUUUUCAACUUUCGCCAUUUCAAGCCUAAUUCAACUACAGACCUCCAAAUCACAAUCUGGACAUACUCUUAAGUCUAAAAUCACCCAACGAAGCUAACAAACCAAUCAAAACUCUGUUCCGGAGUCGUUUACACAUAUGUCAACAUCCGGUCAACCAUUUCAACUUAAGCUUUCAACCUUGAGACUCAGUGUCUCAAUUCAUUCAGAAACCUCUUCGAACUCGAACCGACUGCCCUAGCAAGUCACAUAGAAGCUAUAAAGCAUAAAAUGAGCUGUAAAUGAGGGAAUAGGGCUACAACUCUCAAAAUGACCGGUCGGGUCAUUACAUCCUCCCCUUCUUAAACAAAUGUUCGUCCUAGAACUUGUCUAGAAACGUACAUAGAUUCACAAAUAGGUGUGGAUAUGUGCUUUGUAUCUCCCUUCGCUCUCCCAAGUAGCCUCUUCAACUGGCUGACCUCUCCAAUGCACCUUCACUCAAGCUAUGCCCUUUGACCUUACUUUCGAACAUGCCGAUCCAAAAUGGCCAUCAGCUACACAUCAUAAGUCAAACUACCAUCCAACGGAACCGUGCUUAAAUUCAAGACAUGAGACGAAUCACCGACAUACUUUAGGAGCAUAAAAACAUGAAAUACUGGAUACACACUCGACAAACUAGGUGGCAAAGAAAGCAUGUAAGCCACCUCUCCAAUCCUUCGCACCUGCGACCAUAGCCUUCCUCACUCCUGGCCGCAUCUGCAUUCCCCAGCUCGCAUCUGGGAACUCACACCGAUGACCAAAGCUCCACAGGUGCGAUUACACUAGAAGACUCCCAGCUUCAACAAUCUUUCAAACUCUAAAUUUGAUCCGUUAACCAUCCGAACUCCACCCAAGGCCUCCGAGACCUCCACCAAAUAUACCAACAAGUCCUAAAACAUGAUACAAACUUAGUCAAGCCCUCAAACCACAUCAAAAUAUAUCAAAAAUAUGAAUCGCACCCCAAUUCAAGCCUAAUAAAAACUAAGGAAUUCCAACUUCUACAAAUGAUGUUGAAACCUAUCAAAUCACGUCUGAUUGACCUCAAAUUUUGUGCACAAGUUAAAAAAUGAUACCACGGACCCACUACAACUCCAGAAUCCCAAUCCGAGCCUGGUAUCCAUAAAGUCCACUCUCGGUCAAACUUCCAAAUUUUCAACUUUCGUCAUUUCAAGCCUAAUUCAACUACGGACCUCCAAAUCACAAUCCGGACACACUCCUAAGUCCAAAAUACCCAACGGAGCUUCCGGAACCAUCAAAACUACAAUCUAGAGUUGUUUACACAUAAGUCAACAUCCGGUCAACCAUUUUAACUUAAGCUUUCAACCUUGAGACUAAGUGUCUCAAUUCAUUCCAAAACCUCUCCAGACCCAAACCAACUACCCUGUCAAGUCACAUAGAAGCUAUAAAGCAUAAAAUGAGUAGUAAAUAGGGGAACAUGGCUAUAACUCUCAAAAUAACCAGCCGAGUUGUUACAUUUUGUGAUUUUAAUAUAUAACCAAACCUCUCUAUAAUUGCCUCAUUUAUUCCAAUAUUUUUUGGUUGCUAUAGUUGUGAUGACCCAAUAGGUAAUCUAGAGUUUUAACCCUUAAUUCUAUGUUUUGAAAAGUAUAUUAAAAUGUGAAAAGCGUGCUUUAAAACUUAUUUGGGUUGACUUCGGUCGAUGUUUAAAACAAACAGACCCGGGUCUAUAUUUUGACGAUCUAUGUGGAUUUGUAUCGUGAUUUGGGACUUGUGCGUAUGCUCAAAAUCUAAUUCAGAGGUCCCUAGCGUGAUUUAUCGCAAUUUGUUAAAAAUUAUAGGUUUAAAGGCUUAAAGAAUUCAUAAAUUUGACCGUAGUUUGACGUUGUUGCUACCGAAUUUGAAUAUUGGUUCCGAAACUUGGUAUAGGUCUAUUUUAGUAUUUAUGACUUGUCUGUAAAAUUUUAUGCAAAACGGAGUUGAUUUGACGUGAUUCGGACGUCCAAUUGUUAAAACGAAAGUUCUUAAGAUUCUUUGAAAAUUUCAUCCGUUUUGGUGUCUGAUUCAUAGUUCUAGGUGUUAUUUUAGUGUUUUGAUCACACGAGUGAUUUGGUAUGAUAUUUUUGGACUUGUGUUCAUAUUCGGUUUGGAGCCACAAGGGCUCAGGUAAGUUUUGGAUAGGCUUCGGAGUGGUUUUGGACUUAGAAACUAGCUGGUGCAUGUGUGUUCUGGUACUGGACUGUAGAUUUCUCAAAUGCAAGGUCUGGCUUGCAAAUGCGGGCCUCUCAUUUGCGAAGAAUACUUCACAUUUACAAAGCAGGAGUCCGGGGCUGGUUUCUCGCAUUUGCGAGAUUUGGGUCGCAAUUGCGAUCUUCUCAGGUUCGCAUUUGCGAAGGAAGAAGAGGUGUAAAGGCUUCGCAUCUGCGGGGUUCGUAGAGGUCUUUAUUUUCUACUUGUCACUUAUUAUUCUUGUAUUAAAAAAUGUUAGAUUCUUCAAUGCUUCCAUGACUUACUAUUACUUGCCUUAAAUGACUUACUUGUACCCUUAGUUGUCAUUUAUUUAAAUUGUCUUGUUGUUUAGUAUUCAUUAUAGUGGAUUCUUAAUUUGAGACGAGAUUUCAUUUCUGUUUCUACGUCAUAUCCAUUAAUCAUAGAGGAAUCUUGUGAUUUAAAUUGUUAAAUUAAAUGCACUUAUUGAUUUAUGCAUACUGUACGGUGGGAUCGGAUUGCGCGCUACAACAUAGGAAAUAAGAAUGGAUUGAUAUGGCAAAAAAUGGGUAAAUUUAUAUUGAUACGGUGGGAACAGGUUGUGCACCGUAACAGAUGAAAAUGGUGGAUAGAUAUGUUGAAAUAAGGGUGAAUUAUUAUCUGUAUUCUAAUUAUAUGGUGGGAUCGGGUUGCACGCCGCAACAUAUAUUUAUUUAUUAUUAUGGGGGAAUAAGGGAGAAUUGUGUUGUACGGUGGGAUCGAGUUGCGCAUUGCAACAAUCUAUAUAUUUCUAUUUCCUUAUUGUGUUGUGUUGGCUUUGGUAUUUUCAUGCGAGACUCUAACAAUUGGUAUUUCUGGUAUUUACUGAUUUUCCUUCGGAGGUUGAGUUAUUUUCAUUUGUUAACUGCAUUAAUUCAUUUUUUGCAUUUUCUUUCAUGCUGUUAUUUUACACUGCGUAAAGGUUAUUGUAAGUGACUACCUUAGCCUCGUCACUACUUCGUCGAGAUUAGGUUCGGCACUUACAUAGUACACAGGGUCAGUUGUACUCAUACGACACUCUGCACUUCUUAUGCAGAUUUUUGUAUUGGUCCCAGCUGUCCGUGAGGUGCAUCAACUCGAAUUAUUACUGUUAGAGACUUGAGGUAAAUCUGCUGACGUUCGUAGACCUUGGAGUCCCCUUCCUCUUUCCUUAUUUAUUGUUCAUUUCAUUCAAAUCAGUUGUAUUUAUUUCAUACUCUAUUUGUAGAACUUCUAGUAGGUCGUGUACUUGUUGUAGACAUGUGAUUUUUUACCCUCCCCAAGAUUUUUUAUAUUUUAGCAUGUAGAUAUUUGGUUUAGGUCUAAAAUCACUAUUUUGGCUAUUUUUUAAACUUCUUCAGUUUAUCUUAUUUCAAAGACUAAAAGAAAAAGAAGAAAAACUAACAAAAAAAAUAUUUUUGUUCUUUAUGUUAGAUUAUAGAUAUUUUUUUUAUAGCUAGUUUUAUUUUAUUUUAUUUUUACAAAGGAUAAAAGAAAAGUUUCAAAAAAUAUUUUUACUUGGUUUAGUGUAAUUUUAAGUUAUAAGUAUUUAGUAAAUAUCGAGUAGUAUUUGAGUUUCUCUAAUAGGAUUAGUUUAGUUCUCUUUUUAAUAUUGUCUACUUUAGAUAAAUAGUAUUUUUGUAACUAGUGUUAUCUUAUCCUUAAUAGAAAGAAAAAAAAAAGUUUGCAAAACAAAAAGAGUAAUGAAGCAACAGAAGAGUAAAUUUGCAAAGAAGAAUCAAUUCAUUAAAUCAUGUGGAACCCACCUUAUCUAUUCCUAACCAACUCACAUGCACAUUGGAAUCCAAAAAAUAACAGAAAUUCUUUUUCUCUCUCUCUCAUUCACGUUUUGGGUAGGGGGACCUUUCCCUUCACUUUCUAUAUAAUACACCACACGAAAAUAUACAGAAAGUGAACGCCUAUACACAAAAAGAGAUCCUUCAGUCGCAUAACACCAUAGAGACCCCCACCCACUGCUCGGUUGUUUUCUUCUUCAUUGAAGAACAAAAGUUUUCCAUGGCUUGAGCUUCAACCAAGAAACAGUCGCAAGAACAAAAAGAAUCAGACCACCCCCAUCGUUGAUCAUCUUCUCUUUCAAAAAAAAAACCUAGCACCCAAACUCCAUCUCUAUGGCCAUCGCUGUUUCUGCUUCUUCCCAUUAACCAAAACUCGCCAAAAUCUUGAACACCAGCUGUUGCUCUCUUCAUCUUCCUCCUCCAGCAGCUCGACGAAAAACAGAGCCUAGUUGAAUCCCCAUCUUCCUCCCUUGAACGAAAAGUAGAUUCAGGCGCGCACACACACGUAGAGGGAGAAAAAGAUAAUCACAUUUUUGGAAAAAGGCAGUGAGGAUUUGGUGUUUCGGAACUCUUUAAUCUUCUUCUUCUAUUCUUCCGUUUUCAUUGAGAAUAAAAAAAAUACUAAAAAAGGUUGCUUAUGUUUUUGUGUUAAUUGGGCUUCGAUUUUAAAGAAAAAUGUUAUGCGUCGUUAGUUUCAAUCUCAGAAUUUUGGUGUUCAAAUAUGGAUUUGAUUGAGACAUGGCUGAGUCGAGGUUCAUGUUUGCCAUUGCCGAUGGUUUCCGUUCGAGACUCUGUUUUCCGGCCAUGUAACACAUCUGGAGGUUCUAAGACAUUGAGGUCCAUUUCUACCUCCUUUAUUUAAUUAAUUCAAGAAUUGUAGUGUUCUAUCUUAGUGUUUAUGGUUUGAAUGAAUUUUUAUUCUCGAAGUUUUGAAUAUUCAGAUUAAAGUUGUUAAAAUGGAACAAUUUGCAUUCUCUGCAUUUCUAAAUGGAACAAUUUGUUAAUCAAAUGGAGUCGAUUUCAGCAGUGUAUUUUGGUUCAUUUUGAAAGUUUGAAUCUGCUUCUCAUAUGACAAGUUUACAGAUUGUUUUUUUUCUAUCUUGUUGUAAUUGUUAUACGUUACCUUGUCUAUUUCAUUCUAUAAACAAUAUUGUAUACAUACACGUAUAAGGAGGAUUCUUGGUUCUAAUAAAUCGCUUCUGCAAUCGAUCCCUAGUCAAAAGUUCUGCAAUGUAAAGUUCUGCAAUGUAUUAUAUUUCUUGGGAGGUGCUGAAAGUAAAAGUACAACUUUAAAUAUGAAUAUCUUUAAUUUCUUUAGUUGAGUAGAUCGGAGGCGUGCUAUAUUAGGCAAUACAUAGUUUAUGGCCCUCCGAAAUUUAGUUCAAGUUUCCUUUAAAUAAUGGAAUCGAGGUGUGCCGUGCCGAAGAAAAAUCUCAAAUUGCAUGGCCCUCAUUUAAUUAAUACUUGAAUCCUUAGAAAUUGAGGCACGCCAUUUAGUUGAACUUCCAUAGCCCUCGCAAAGUUGAAAAUGCGUAGUUGCUUUAGGCGCAUAAUUUAAAAUUACCUCCCUAAAUUCGGGUGUGCAUUUCAUGUGACCCAACUCCAAUUCUCAACAACGUUAAAUAAAAUAUGUCGUGGACCGCGGGUGCAUUUCAUGUGGCGUGGUUCAAGGCGUGUUUUAAAUAACGUUGAAUCUUCCUAAAAUUAAUUAAAAGCGGUUUAAAGUUAAAAUGCACAUAGGUUUAAAAGUGUAUUAAAAUCAGAUAAUAGGCCAAUAAUAAUAGUUGANNNNNNNNNNNNNNNNNNNNNNNNNNNNNNNNNNNNNNNNNNNNNNNNNNNNNNNNNNNNNNNNNNNNNNNNNNNNNNNNNNNNNNNNNNNNNNNNNNNNNNNNNNNNNNNNNNNNNNNNNNNNNNNNNNNNNNNNNNNNNNNNNNNNNNNNNNNNNNNNNNNNNNNNNNNNNNNNNNNNNNNNNNNNNNNNNNNNNNNNNNNNNNNNNNNNNNNNNNNNNNNNNNNNNNNNNNNNNNNNNNNNNNNNNNNNNNNNNNNNNNNNNNNNNNNNNNNNNNNNNNNNNNNNNNNNNNNNNNNNNNNNNNNNNNNNNNNNNNNNNNNNNNNNNNNNNNNNNNNNNNNNNNNNNNNNNNNNNNNNNNNNNNNNNNNNNNNNNNNNNNNNNNNNNNNNNNNNNNNNNNNNNNNNNNNNNNNNNNNNNNNNNNNNNNNNNNNNNNNNNNNNNNNNNNNNNNNNNNNNNNNNNNNNNNNNNNNNNNNNNNNNNNNNNNNNNNNNNNNNNNNNNNNNNNNNNNNNNNNNNNNNNNNNNNNNNNNNNNNNNNNNNNNNNNNNNNNNNNNNNNNNNNNNNNNNNNNNNNNNNNNNNNNNNNNNNNNNNNNNNNNNNNNNNNNNNNNNNNNNNNNNNNNNNNNNNNNNNNNNNNNNNNNNNNNNNNNNNNNNNNNNNNNNNNNNNNNNNNNNNNNNNNNNNNNNNNNNNNNNNNNNNNNNNNNNNNNNNNNNNNNNNNNNNNNNNNNNNNNNNNNNNNNNNNNNNNNNNNNNNNNNNNNNNNNNNNNNNNNNNNNNNNNNNNNNNNNNNNNNNNNNNNNNNNNNNNNNNNNNNNNNNNNNNNNNNNNNNNNNNNNNNNNNNNNNNNNNNNNNNNNNNNNNNNNNNNNNNNNNNNNNNNNNNNNNNNNNNNNNNNNNNNNNNNNNNNNNNNNNNNNNNNNNNNNNNNNNNNNNNNNNNNNNNNNNNNNNNNNNNNNNNNNNNNNNNNNNNNNNNNNNNNNNNNNNNNNNNNNNNNNNNNNNNNNNNNNNNNNNNNNNNNNNNNNNNNNNNNNNNNNNNNNNNNNNNNNNNNNNNNNNNNNNNNNNNNNNNNNNNNNNNNNNNNNNNNNNNNNNNNNNNNNNNNNNNNNNNNNNNNNNNNNNNNNNNNNNNNNNNNNNNNNNNNNNNNNNNNNNNNNNNNNNNNNNNNNNNNNNNNNNNNNNNNNNNNNNNNNNNNNNNNNNNNNNNNNNNNNNNNNNNNNNNNNNNNNNNNNNNNNNNNNNNNNNNNNNNNNNNNNNNNNNNNNNNNNNNNNNNNNNNNNNNNNNNNNNNNNNNNNNNNNNNNNNNNNNNNNNNNNNNNNNNNNNNNNNNNNNNNNNNNNNNNNNNNNNNNNNNNAAGAACAGCCACCUUUGGUCUCUUUUUGACUUUUUGGCCGGUUAGCAAGCACAACCUUAAAUCUUCUCCCCGGAAGUGCCGAAAGGCCGUAUUUGCAAAACCGGGUUUUAUUUUGAAAUGAAAAUUUGAAAAGAAAAGAGAGAAAAAUAGUGUUAACUUUUUUUUUGAGUCAAAUGAGUCUUGAUUUUGCUUAAUCACCCUAAUAAAUGUGCAGAAUGAGCACGAGUCAAAGUUUGCCAAUAACAGUCAUGAACAAGAUCCCUUUGGAGUUGCAUAUGUGGUGGGAGGAUUUGGGUAAAUCGGAGCAAGAUAAGGUCAAUCUACAUUAGGGAGGCCUCACCGGGUUGUUGAAGAUAAGGCCUAGAGGAGACAUCAUAAAGGAGUUGGUUACAUUUUGGGACCCAGCUCACAACGUCUUACAUUUCUCGAAUUUUGAACUGACACCCACCUUGGAAGAGAUAUCAGGUUAUAUGGGAAGUACUGAAGGUCUGAGGCAUAAGUAUCUGAUCGCUCCAAGAGCUGUUAACUCUCACAAAUUCAUGGAUUUGCUAAAAAUAAGCAAGGGAGUCUCAUACUCCAAGUUGGAGGAUGGUUUUUCCACUCUACGUUUUAUAUACCAGAGGCACGAGCAUAUAGGAGGAUUCAACAACCCGGAAAACGGGGUUUGUAGCAAAGGGAACCGAGCAAAUUGGGAUGAGCAUAGGCAUUUCGCUUUCAUGGUAGCUUUCUUAGGCCUCGUGGUGUUUCCCCAGAAAGAUGGGAAUAUCGAUCUGCGGGUGGCUGGAGUCGUCAAAGUCUUGAUUACCAAUGCUAAGAGCACCCUUGCCCCUAUGAUAGUAUCUGAGAUAUACCGAGCUCUCCCAGCUUGUAAAGUUGGGGCAGAUUUCUUCGAGGGAUGCAAUUUGCUACUACAAAUGUGGAUGAUCAAACACCUGUGUCACCGCCCUCAGUAUAUGAGUUAUGGGUCCGCAGAGAAAAGUUGCAUUGAAGAGUUCGACACAAGGAUUUCAGGGUUCAAAUUACCAGAGGGGUUUGGAGAUUGGGUAUCCCUCCUUCGCUCCAUCACUGCGGGGCAAAUAGAAUGGACAUUGGUUGGCUUCCUGUUGAAGAAAUUGUGUAUAUGCCCGCCACUGGUCCUUAAUUCCUCCUAAUGGGUCUUCGAGGCAUUCAGCCUUACGCUACAUACCGGGUGAUGAGACAGUUGGGAAGUGUCAGGUGAUGCACCCAGAUGAAGAUCUUAAUGUUUAUGCGGUCGAGGUUAGCUCUGACGACCAAUUUCAUGAAGAAACAUAUCGUUCUAUUUGGAAUGAGUGACAGUAUUUGACAGCAAACACUCGAGUGCGUGACCUAUCUAGAGGCGAGGUCUCACCCGCCUAUCUUGUCUGGUAUAGAAAGAAGAACACUAAAAGGUCCGAAUCGGAAAGACCAGCCAAAAAGCCUCAGAUUCAGGAACUCGUUGAGGCAUCGCAAGAACAGUGGGCUUGGUUGGCCAAGGAGAAUGAGUACAUGGCCACAAUAGGAAAGCUGGAAAAGCAAGUCAGGGAUCUCCAAUUCGAGAAUGGUUUGCAAGCUGCAGCGGAUGAGGGUGAAAAGAAAAAGCUAGCCAAAAAAAUGAGGCCCUUCAAGCCCAGAUUCGAGAAAUGAAAACAGCAGCUGAAAAUCCUGUCAAAAGUGCAAAGGAUGAAAAGCUUAUAAAGAACCCUAGGCAGAAGGUGGAUGAGUAUGGUUUUGAUUUGAACAAAGCAGAGGGUGAACUAGCCAGGGCUCGAACAAAAUUGGCUAAGAAUGCGGAAAAACGAGCGCGUCUGGUUAAACAGUCUAAAGAGAAAUACGACAAUGAGGUUGCGGGGUUGAAGAAAAGGGUCAUCACCGUUGAGAACAAAAUGAUCAAGCAGGCGAAAGACUUUAAGGCUGAAAGAGAACAUUGUUAUACAACAAUGGCACAGUUAGAAAGAGACCUGCAACAACUCCAAGAACAGAAUCAAGUAGCCGAACAAACUUUGGAAGUCAGGGACAAGCAGAUUGGGCAUUUGUUGCAAGAAAAGGGUGUCAUAAGAGAGAGAGUCAGAAGGAUCGCUAACUACAUCGCGAUGAAGUGCAGUAGUUGUGAGGAUAUGACUAGAUCCAUGUUCUUUGCCACUGUGAUGACCUUUGUCUGCCAGAUAAUGGAAGAUCUCUACCACCUCCAAGGUGAUUUAGCGCAUAGGCCCGUGGCGCGACCGAAUGAUGUCCCGCGGACCCAGGAGCAGUUGAGGCAUUGAUGUAUUCAUAAUUUUCAUUAGAGUCUGUUAGUCCGUUUUCGAGUCUGUGUUUUCGUCUUUUUUAGAGUCUGUUAGUUUGCUUUUAAGUCUGUAUUUUCAUCUUUUCAUCAGAGUCUGUUAGUUUCUUUUGAGUCUGUUAGUUUUUGAGUCGUUGUAAUCAAAGCAUUUUCCUUUUUUUUUAUAAAAAUUUGAAAAUCCCAAAAUAUUUUAUUGAUUAUUUUUACACUUAUCCUAAGAACUACGCUCGAUUUGAUUCAUGCGGGGUUAUGAUACGUAGGCAGUCUCCAUAGGAUUCGACCAUAACCAAAAGAAAGAAAAGAAAAAAAGAGAAAAGAAGAAAAAAAAGAAGAGAGAGGAAAAACAAGAGAGAAAAAGAAAAGAAAAGAGAGAGAAAAUAAGAAACCAUGAGAAGGAAACAAAUGGCAAAACAAGAGAGAGAAAUGAGAGAAUAAAAACAAAGAGAAAUCAAGCAGAGAAAGGCAUGAGUGGAAAAAAAGAUAAAAGAGACGUUGCAAAUGGAAAUAAGGAGAAGUCGAGAUGACGCAAGCAACCGAUCAAAUGCAUAAUAGAAAUGGUUAACUGCUUAGGUGCAUUCAUUUUCCAAAUGUGCGGUUGCCUAUCUGUUAAACCCUGAUCACUAACCAGUUUGUUGUUGUCGUCAAGUAACAUGCAGGUGGUUAGUUUGUGUGGCAUUCUGGCAACUCACCCAUACAACACCCGUUCCAAAAACAAAUUGAUCAUGGACAACCAGGAACUUGAUGCGAGUGCCAUCGAUCCGUCGAGAGAGGUGGAAGAGUUGGAUGUUAAUUUGAUGAAAGAAGAGAUGUAUAAGCUGAAACAGCAGUUGGCCGAAAUGUACCAGGCAUGGGCAAAAGGGCAACCACCGCCAGCUUACCCCGCCAACCCUGUCUUCAUCCUGCCAUUGGCUCAGUCUUAGGAACUUUCUGCUACCGAUUCGUCCCUGAGCUUUCCCAUUUACCAACACUACCAGAGUACCACUUCCCAAACACCACCAGCUCCACCACCCAAACCAGUUCCAUACCCUUCUCCACCAGCCACUCCUGUCUUCGUGGCACCCCCACCUGCUACACUCCAUAGAUCCUCCAGCGAGCCCUUAUUCCAAGCCCAUGAUAACCAAUAUUACCCCUCGGAGCCCACUUUCAAGGCUCCAGAACCCUAUUCCUACACUCCUCAUUUUGAUCUCCCUGUGGAAACCGAAAAACCAUCUAAAAAUCCCGAACAGGAGGAGAUGUUCAGGAAAGUUAAAAGUCUGGAACAGUCAUUCAGAGACAUAUGGGGGUUGGGAGGUCAAGUAAGUGUGGCCUACAAAGACCUAUGUCUGUUUCAAGAUGUGCAAUUGCCGGUAGGGUUUAAGAUGCCCAAGUUUGAUUUGUAUGAUGGGCACGGUGAUCCAGUGGUGCAUUUGAGAGGUUUUUGUAGCAAAAUGAGGGGAGCUGGCGGGAAAGUCGAGCUGCUAAUAGCGUAUUUCAGCCAGAGUCUGAGUGGUUCAGUGUUGGAAUGGUAUACUCGGCAGGAUCACGAAAGAUGGUACACAGGGGAUGAUCUAGCCUAGGCAUUUUCUUGUCACUUCCAGUACAAUCUCGAGAUUAUUCUGGAUCGUCUGUCUUUGACGAAACUUGAGAAAAAGCAAAAUGAAAGUUUCAGAGAGUAUGGUUUUCGUUGGAGAGAGCAAACAGCGAGGGUUGACCCUCUAAUGAAAGAAAGUGAAAUGGUGGAUUAUUUUCUGCAGGCCUUAGAGCCUACUUAUUACGGACAUCUGGUAUUGGCUAUAGGCAAGUCCUUCAAUGAAGUGGUAAAAAUGGGCGGUAUGGUAGAAGAAGGGCUCAAGACAAACAAAAUCAUGAGCUAUUCGGCGAUCAAGGCAACCACCCAGGCCAUUCAAAGUGGAACUAGGGGAGUAAUUGGAAAGAAGAAGAAAGAUGAUGUCGCAACGAUCGAGUCAGGAUCUUGGUUCGAACCCAGGGGCCCAUCACAUUACUAUAACAAACCUCGACGCCACCACCAAACCUACCCUCAUACCCCAUAUAGCCCACCACAACACUACCACCCACCACCAGACCCCCAUUUUUCUAUCCACCAUGCCCAAACAUACACUCAACCUCCUCCCCACAUGCAAUGGCGUGUGCCAACCCCACAGAAUACCUACCCAGCUCCACAAAAUGCCUAUCCACCACUAAGAGCCUACCAAAAUCCCCCUAGAACAGGUUUCCGACCUAAUCAAGCAUUCAAGAACGAGAGGUUGCAGAAGAAGAAAACCUUCACUCUAUUAGGAGAGUCCUAUACUAGUCUAUUCCACAGGCUGAGACAAUUGGGUAUGCUGAAUCCAAUUGAGCCAAAACUACCAAAUCCUCCCCCUGAGAAAUCUUGAUCACUCUGUGAGUUGCAAAUAUUGUUCUGGUGCUCCGGGGCACGACACAUAGAAAUGUUCGCAGUUGAAAACAGCUAUUCAAGAGCUCAUUGAUACCAAUCGGAUUGAGGUCCAAGCUCUGGAGGCGCCCAAUAUCAACCAGAAUCCGUUGCUGACCCAUCAUGAGACAAAUAUGAUCGAGAUAGUGCAUAAGGGAGGGAAGCCCAAGAAGACUUCACAGACUAUCAUGAUGAUUUGGUCCAGCGAGGUCAGACUGGGUGAAAAGUCAACAAGUGAGAAAUCAGUGAUCAGGUUGAGCGGGGCAAACAGUGAACCAUAUGCGGUAGUCAAGAAAGGGUCUUCAAGUGGUGUUGCAGUGAAACAAGAAAAAGCAAAAGUGGUGGUUCUAGAGGUGGCGAACAAGCCUGUCAUAAUUGUGGAGGGUGCUCGCACAGAUCCUGUAAUUAUCAAACCUAUCACCCAAUUACCAAUAGUCAAUAGCAAGGCUGUCCCGUGGAAUUAUGAACGAGUGACAGUGACUUACAAAGGGAAAGAGGUUAAAGAAGAAGUUUGUGAGACCCAUGGUUUGACUCGAUCGGGGAGAUGUUUUGCCCCCGAAGAGUUGAGAAAAGCUAAGAUCUCCAAAGAUAACCCAGUGCUGGUGAAGAAAGUUGUGACCGAGGAAGAAGUAGAGGAAUUUUUUAGAAAGAUGAAAGUGCAGGACUAUUCCAUUGUGGAGCAGUUGAGGAAGACACCUGCUCAGAUUUCACUAUUGUCAUUAUUGAUCCAUUCAAACGAGCACCGUCGGGCUUUGAUGAAAAUCCUGAAUGAGGCCCACGUUCCUGACAAAAUCUCAGUAAACCACUUGGAAAAUAUAGCUAACAAGAUAUUUGAGGUAAACAGAGUCACUUUUUCUGAUGAUGAGUUGCCCGUGGAGGGCAUUGAGCACAAUACAGCCCUCUAUCUUACGGUGAAGUGUGAAGAUUCCGUGGUUACUCGAGUAUUGAUCGACAAUGUUUCUAGUGCCAACAUUUUCCCUCUCUCCACCUUAAACAAGUUUAAAGUGGAGGAUGAGAGAAUUCACAAGAAUAGUAUCUGCGUUCGGGGAUUUGAUGGCAGAGGCAAAGAUUCAGUCAGUGAUAUAAUACUGGAGCUGACGACAGGGCUAGUUGAAUUUACCAUGGAAUUCCAAGUGCUAGAUGUGGUUGUUUCCUACAAUCUGUUGUUGGGUCGACCUUGGAUCCAUGCUGCCAAGGCGGUCCCAUCCACCCUGCAUCAGAUGGUCAAAUUUGAAUGGGAUAGACAAGAAAUAGUUGUGCACGGUAAGGAUAAUCAGUGUGCUCAUAGUGAUACCAUUGUGUCGUUCAUUGAGGUGGAGGACGACAAGGGGUCAUGGGUCUAUCAGGUCUUUGACACAAUGUCAGUUGAGAAAAUUUCAGAGGGGAAAUGCGUUCUAGUUCCAAAGGUAACUGUCGCGUCAGUCAUGGUAGCUUUCGAAAUGUUGAAGAAUGGUUUUGUACCUGGUAAGGGUUUGUGUGCAUCUCUGUAGGGCAUCGUGCAGCCGGUGUCUCUUCCUAAAAACUUGGAUACAUUUGGUCUGGGAUUCAAGCCCACGGCCGUAGAUGUGAGAAGAGCCAAAAAAAUGAAACAGAGGGCAUGGGCCCUUCCAAAGCCCGUCCCGCGUCUUUCCAGAUCAUUUGUCAGGCCUGGUACCAAAAAGCGCCCAGUGACGACGGUUCCCAGUUCAGUGGUUGAUGUGGAUGGAGAUUUGAUUGAAAAGUUCGAGAGGUUAUUCAUCGAUGUGAACAUGCUGGAAGCUGGAGAGGGUUCGAGUAAAGCGGAUGUGCAGUUUGUUGGGCCUAGUACAAAGAUUAACAAUUGGGAAGCUACUCCUCUUCCUACUCGGAGGGAGUUUUGGUAGUUUACUUUAUUUUUCUUUCAGUUUAUCUGGAUUAUUCCAAGGUUGUAAUUCAGAUUCUAUGUUCCGUUCAUUUGGAUGUAUAAACCUUGUUAUCUUUAAUUUCAAUGAAAUGCAAUUUCCUUUUUUUCAUUCCUGACAGUUUUAUUUUUGUUUUUCUUUUCUUCCUUGUACAGUUCUUUUUGUGCUGGUUUCAAUGACAUGACAUGCAUGAGGAAUCUCCGGCCCAGUCCUAAAAGUCAAUCUAAUUCUGAAAUAAUAAUACAAGAAAUAGAGUGUGAUGAUGAAUUGGAAUAUGAUGAUGAUAAGGCCUUUGAAGAGAUUAGUAAAGAAUUAAGCCAUUUUGAAGAAAAACCCAAGCCUAACCUAAAUGAUACAGAAGCAAUCAAUUUAGGGGACCAAGAUAAUGUUAGAGAAACUAAGAUAAGUGUCCAUCUGGAACCACAAAUCAGGGAGGAGAUAGUUAAAGCACUGUUUGAAUACAAAGAUGUUUUUGCAUGAUCAUAUGAUGACAUGCCGGGUCUAAGCACUGACUUGGUGGUCCACAAAUUUCCCACUGACCCGGCAUUCCCUCCCAUCAAACAGAAACUAAGGAAAUUUAAAACUGAUAUGAGUGUGAAGAUCAAAGAAGAGGUCACCAAGCAGUUCGAUGCAAAAGUCAUUCGGGUCACUCGGUAUCUCACUUGGUUAGCCAAUGUAGUACCUGUGCCAAAGAAGGAUGGCAAGACCAGGGUGUGUGUUGAUUACUGUGAUCUCAACAAGGGCGAGUCCCANNNNNNNNNNNNNNNNNCAUCAAAUCUCAAUGGAUGAGGAAAAUGCAAAAAAGACGGCAUUCAUUACACCAUGGGGUACAUACUGCUAUCGGGUCAUGUCAUUCGGUUUGAAAAAUGUUGGGGCAACUUACAUGAGGAUGAUGACGACCAUAUUUCACGACAUGAUACAUAGGGAGAUCGAGGUUUAUGUGGAUAAUGUGAUCAUAAAGUCCAAAAGCAGUCUGACCACGUCAGAGAUCUGAGGAAGUUCUUCCAAAGGCUCCGCAGGUACAAUCUUAAGCUCAAUCCUGCAAUGUGCGCAUUUGGUGUUCCGUCUGGAAAGUUGUUGGGAUUCAUAGUCAGCCGUCAAGGUAUUGAAUUGGACCCGUCAAAAAUCAAAGCUAUCCAAGAGUUGCCACCCCCGAGGAACAAGACUAAGGUGAUGAGUCUAUUGGGGAGGUUGAAUUACAUCAGCAGGUUUAUUGCUCAGCUUACGACGACUUGUGAGCCUAUCUUCAAGUUGUUAAAGAAGGAUAUUGCGGUUAUGUGGAUACAUGAGUGUCAAGAAGCAUUUGAUAAGAUAAAAGGGUACUUGUCAAACCUACUUGUGUUGGUCCCGCCAGAACCGGGGAAACCUUUGAUUCUGUAUUUGACAGUUUUGGACAAUUCAUUCGGUUGCGUAUUGGGCCAGCAUGACAUCACCGGCAGGAAGGAGCAGGCCAUAUAUUAUCUCAGCAAGAAGUUCACAUCUUUUGAGGUUAAGUACACUCACCUUGAGAGGACAUGUUGCGCCCUAACUUAGGUAGCACAGAAGUUGAAACAUUAUUUGUCAUCUUACACUACUUACCUCAUCUCUCGCUUGGAUCCGCUGAAGUAUAUCUUUUAGAAGCCUAUGCCCACAGGGAGGCUCGCAAAAUGGCAGAUCUUACUGACAGAAUUUGACAUCAUCUAUGUGACUCGGACUGCGAUGAAAGCACAAGCAUUGGCUGACCAUUUGGCCGAGAACCCGGUGGAUAAAGAAUAUGAACCUUUGAAAACUUACUUCCCUGAUGAAGAGGUGAUGCACAUUGGUGAGGUAGAACAGGUCGAAAAGCCAGGAUGGAAACUUUUCUUCGAUGGGGCUGCUAACAUGAAAGACGUUGGGAUAGGAGUAGUACUUAUUUCUGAAACAGGGCAUCACUACCCUAUUACAACUCAGCUUCGUUUCUACUGUACUAACAACAUGGCUGAGUAUGAGGCAUAUAUCUUGGGUUUGAGGUUGGUUGUGGACAUGGGUGUCCAGGAAGUCUUGAUCUUGGGGGACUCGGACCUUCUGGUGCACCAGAUUCAGGGAGAAUGAGAGACACGGGAUGUAAAGUUCAUAUCGUACCGACAAUUUUUGCAUGAUCUUUGUCAACGGUUUCAAUCAAUAGAGUUCCGGCAUAUUCCGAGGAUUCAUAAUGAGGUUGCCGAUACUUUGGCUACUCUGGCGUCAAUGUUACAUCAUCUAGAUAAGGGUUAUGUGGACCCUUUGCAAAUUCAGGUCUGCGAUCAGCAUGCUUACUGUAACGUGGUGGAAGAAGAACUUGAUGGUGAACCGUGGUUCCAUGAUAGCAAAGAGUAUAUCAAGAUGGGGGUAUAUCCAGCACAAGCCACAAGUGAUCAAAAAAGAACAAUUCGACGGUUGGCAAGUGGAUGUUUCUUCAGUGGAGGGUUGUUGUACAAAAGAACUCCAGAUCUUGGAUUGUUAAGAUGCAUAGAUGCUAGACAGGCCACAACUAUCAUGACCGAAGUGCAUUCCGGAGUCUGUGGACCGCAUAUGAGUGGGUAUGUUCUGGCAAAGAAGAUCCUCCGAGCAGGUUAUUAUUUGCUCACUAUGGAGCGAGAUUGUAUCAGUUUUGUGCGCAAGUGUCAUUAAUGUCAGGUGCACGGAGAUUUGAUUCAUUCUCCACCAUCUGAAUGACAUACAAUGUCUGCACCAUGGCCCUUUGUUGCUUGGGGCAUGGAUGUCAUUGGACCAAUCGAGCCAGCAGCGUCCAAUGGGCACAGGUUUAUUCUGGUGGCCAUUGAUUAUUUCACCAAGUCUUUGACCAAGAAAGCAGUGGUCGAUUUUGUGCACUCAAAUAUCGUUUGUCAGUUCAGGAUCCCAAAGAUGAUCAUCGCAGAUAAUGGUGCUAAUCUCAAUAGUCAUUUGAUGAAAGAGGUGUGUCAACAGUUUAAGAUUACACAUCGCAAUUCCACCCCAUAUCGCCCCAAGGCGAAUGGAGCAGUCGAGGCAGCCAACAAGAACAUAAAGAAGAUACUUCGGAAAAUGGUGGAAGGUUCCAGGCAAUGGCAUGAGAAGCUUCCUUUUGCAUUGUUGGGUUAUCGCACUACUUUUCGUACUUCGGUAGGGGCAACUCCUUAUUUGUUGGUAUAUGGCACGGGAGCAGUGGUACCCGCGGAAGUUGAAAUCCCAUCCCUUCGGAUUGUUGCUGAGGCCGGAAUUGAUGAUGAUAAGUGGGCCAAAACCCGCUUGGAGCAAUUGAGUUUGAUUGAUGAGAAAAGAUUAGCAGCAGUGUGUCAUGGCCAGUUGUAUCAACAGAGAAUGGCAAGAGCAUAUAACAAGAAGGUGCAUCCACGGAAGUUUGAGGUGGGUCAGUUAGUAUUGAAACGUAUCCUUCCUCAUUAGGCUGAAGCAAAAGGUAAGUUCACCCCCAAACUGGCAGGGGUCGUUCAUCGUAACAAGAGUGUUGUCCAAUGGUGCUUUGUAUUUAACAGAUAUAGAAGGCAAAUGUGUAGAAAUGGCCAUCAAUUCUGAUGCGGUCAAAAGAUAUUAUGCAUGAUUUCUUUGGUUAAAUAGUGUUUGUUUGUACUUGGCAUGUCUUGAAGAUUGGAAUGACGAAGGCAUUUUGUUCUGCUAUCUAAACAUUUUAUCCUUUGUUACCCCUUUCGAGCCUUAUUUAUUUCCUUUUAUACCCCUCUUUUGGAAUCGGUGGCAAAAUUCAGAAACGCGAGAGCAAAAGAUAAGUAAAGGAAAAGAAUGAAAAAAAGAGAAAAAGAAAAAGAGAAAAAGAAGAAAAAGCAACAAAAGAAAAACAAAGAAGAAGAAGAAGAAGAAAGGGAAAAGAAAAGAAAAGAAAAAGGAAAAGUCACAACAACAAAGCAAUUUCUAUGACAUGAACUAUGUUCGACCUGAUUCCUUUUAAGGGCCUCACGGUUCGAUCCCAUCAAAAUAAAAUCCAAAAUUCCCCAAACAAAGAAACUGGGGGCGGAAGUUUUGGUUGUUGUAAGAAAUAUGAUUCCGAAAGUUAUAAUUUUGAACCCAUUUUGAAUUGCUUUGAGCCUUUGAUACUCUUUAUUUCCAACCCUAUCCAAAAGCCCCCAUUACGGUCCAAAGAAAUACCUUCCGAUCAGUCCUCGAGAAAUGCCAAGUCAAGCAAGGAGAGGUAAUUCAUAUCAGGGGCAACACUCUGGUCCAAGCAGAAAAAUAUUGAAAAUGAGAGAGUCUUAUUGUUGAAAACCCUCACGGGCACCGUAAGACGACAGGAGCUGAGAGAAAUAAAAAAUGAGAGAGUCUUAUUGGUGAAAACCCUCACGGGCACCAUAAGGAGAAAGUGAAUUGAGAGAUGAACAAAUGAGAGAGGCUUGUUGGUGAAAACCUUUCGGGGCACCACGGACCGAACAAAGGCAAGGUUCUGAUGAGGAAAUUGGGUUUUUGAAGAUCUCGGGGAAUAAAGUACGAUAAUUGAAAGUUGAUUGGUUGGACAGAUUGGGCCAAUUAAUCCGAAAUGCAUGUCAUGAUCAUUGGUGCCAGCUGCUCCACUCAGAUAAGUCUCUUUUCUUUUUCCCCUUCAGAUAGUCUUCCAGUUUUGGAUUUUUUCUUAUCCUUAACUCUGAAAGUCAUUGCAUUUCAUUUCUUUUGGGUUUAUCUCUCUAAGAUGUUCCCAAUGUCAGUUCUAUUUAAGCGAAUAAGAUGAAAUUUCAAAGCUUACUCCCAACUUCCAAAGUUGCACAAGGCAUAGGGCGGCCAAGGCAUUGCUAGAGAUAGUAUGAUGUGAAAUGGGGUAUAAAAGGUCAGAGGAAGUUCCAUCGGUGAAACGGUUUGGUAAUUUCGUGGGAAAUGCAGAGGUUCAAACAGAUGGGGCAGAGAUGUAACACAACGGUUUGGGUAUAGAACACUCGGGUCAUCCAAUGUCAUGAGGUUUGAAAGUCAGUUGGUAAGUCAAGCGGUUCAUGGCCAGUUCAGGGGAAGACAGUCAAAACAAUGCACGACAGCAGGGAGGCCACUUUCAGCAAGAAUGCCACAAACUAACCACCACAUUUUAAACUGACAUUUUUCUUUGAUUGGAACAGGGGCAGGAAGUUUUCGAUUGUUCGGGGAAACUCUCCAUAAGGAAAAUCAAGCACCAGACAGGUUUGACUUUUGAUUUUUAGGACCCUCCUGGAAAAUAGGACCUAGUUUAAAAAUCGAAACAAUCAUAAGUAGCAAAAUCUAGCAUAAAUGUACCCCAAGGAAUAUAAGUUGGUUUCAAAGUUUGCAUGUUUAAGAUAGGAUUUAAUUAAGAUUUGUCAGGACCCUGCUGAAUAAUGGGACCUAGCUUUAAAAUUUCCAUUGGAUAACAAAUUUAGCAUAAGUUCUGGUGUGGGGUAAUAUAAUUUAGUUGUAAAAUAGUCACUCCUAAGAUAAAACUUGACUUUUGAUUUUCAGGGCCCUCCUGGAGAAUAGGAUGUAGCUUUAAUACUUUCUUAGAUAACAAGAUGUAGCGGAAGUAUUACCUCCAGAAGAUAUAACUUAGAUUUAAAAUUGUCGUUUAAUUAAGAGUUUUCAGGGCCCUCCUGGAUAAUGAGAUGUAGUUUUAAAACUUGCUUGGAUAACAAGACUUAGAAUAAGAUAUACCUUUAAAAGACAUAAUUUAGAUUUAAAAUUGUCAUUUAACUAGGAGUUUUCAGGACCCUCCUGGAUAAUAGGAUCUAGCUUUCAAAUUCUUAAGAUAUUUGGUAACAUGAUUCAAUUAACACUCAUAGAUGUUCCUAACUACCAAACUAGGCCAGAAAGUUUUCUUUGUUUUGUCUAUUUUGGUAAUCAGGUGCCCACCUGGAGAGCAAGGGAAUACAUUUCAAGUUUUGGCAAUCUGGCGUCCACCUGGAGAGCAAGGGAAUACAGUUAAAGAUUUGGUAAUCAGGCGCCCACCUGGAAAGCAAGGGAAUACAUCUAAAGAUUUGGUAAUCAGGUGCCCACCUGGAAAGCAGGGGAAUACAGCUAAAGAUUUGGUAAUCAGGCGCCCACCUGGAAAGCAUAGGAAUACAGUUAAAGAUUUGGCAAUCAGGCACCCACCUGGAAAGCAAGGGAAUACAGCUAAAGAUUUGGUAAUCACACACCCACCUGGAAAGCAGGGGAAUAUAGUUAAAGGUUUGGUAAUUAGGCACCCACCUGGAGAACAAGGAGAAACAUUUAAAGUUUUGGCAAUCAGGCACCCACCUGGAGAACAAGGAAAAGCUGUUCAAGUUUCGACAAUCAAGCGCCCACCUAGAGAGAAAAGGAAUAUAGUUAGAGUGUUAGAAAUCAGGAGACCACCUAGAGAACAAAGCAAUUUAAGUGUCAGUAAUCAGUAGUCCACCUGGAGAACAAAGCAAUUUAAGUGUUGGAAAUCAGGCGCCCACCUGGAGAACAAAGCAAUUUAAGUGCUGGUAUCUGGAGCCCACCUGAAGAACGAAGGGAAAGUAGCAAUAUUCGAAGGAAGACGGGUCAAGUUCACCAAUCAGGCGCCCACCUGAAGAAAAGGGAAAAUAUCUCAAGUCACAAUCCAAGUCGGCAAUAAAGGAACUGCAUCUGAAGAAUGCAAAAAACAACAUGAACCACAAGAUCAAGUUUGAAGAUAUAGAAAGGAUUUUUGUAAUGCAUAGAUCAUAGUUUAGGCUAGCUUCUUUUAUUUUGUCAUGGUGUAAUAAGGAGUUCAGUAAGCAGUAGCAGCAGCAGCAGUAAUAGUGAAAUCACAGCUUCAUGGUAGUCCCAGCUACCGAAACUUCCCGAACUACACUGGCCUGAUUCCUUUACAGCCAAGGAUAUGUAGGCAACCUCGGAAGCAGGGUGCGGUCAAAUCUUUCAAAAUGCUUCCCACGGAGUAUUCAAAUGGGCAAAAAUCGUUCGUAUCCGCUCACUUAAUCUUUGCACGAAAACUCUUUGUGUUUCCGAGUAAAGAGGGGCAGCUAUGAGCACGUGAUUUUUUUCCUAUAUGAAUUACUCCCACAAAUUCAAAAUAAAGUAGUUUUUCCAUUGUUUGCAAUUUCGUGGAUUUUUGUAGCAUAUUUUGUUAUUGUCUGCAUUUGUCUGUGCAUGUUUAUCUUUAUUUAAUUAAUGAAAAAUACAAAAUAUAUUGCAUUCGCAUUUAGGAUUAAAUCUUGCAUUUUAAAAGUAAUUAGUAAUUUAAUUGUCCCAUAGAAAUGGAAAAAUCACAAAAUAAUUUAUUUUCACACUUUUAAUUUUAGUUUUGAAUUUUGGUAGUUUUUCAUUAAUUUGGUUUUUAAUUAAUUGUGGUAAUUAUGAGUUAAUUAACCCAAUUUGAUAGGUUAAUUUGAUUUUCAAUUUUAAUUUAGGUUUUAUUUUUAAUUUUGAAAAAAAGAAGAAGAAGGAAUUAAAAAAGAGAAAUGAAUAAAAGAAAAUUGAAGUGAAAUAGAAAGGAGUCUUAAUUGGGCCAUAUCUAUUUAAAUUCCCCAAGCCCAAUUGAUUUUGCCCUCAAACCCGCCCCAAUUCCGGCCCAGACCCAUUCCCAAUAACCGGUUUGAUUCCUACGUGGUCAAACGACCCCGUUUUGAAGGCCCUCGAUCUGGGACGUUGAAUUUGUUUGAUCAGAUGGCCUGGAAGUGAGGGUUGUUUAGUAUAUUAGUGUCCGAACGCUGCCUCCCUUCUCAUCGUCUCUCACCUCACACCUCUCAGAGACCCCUCAACAACCCUAAUCCACCGCCACCCUUCCCUACCGCUUCGAGCCCGGCUACGUCGGCUCCAAACACUACCAAAGUAACACCCCAUAACCCCCAAGCCCUCCUCGUUCAAAAUCCCUACUCCAUUCACCUCAAAUCUCACCAGAGCAUCUCAAAUCUUAAAUCCGAGGUCAAGUUUUUAUUUGGUAAGUUCUUAUUCUCCUCUUGUGUUUUUCUUUCCUUCAAUGUUUUAUUAUCCUCCUCCUUCCCUUUUCUUUAGUCUGGUUGAAAUUCGCUUAGAUCUUCUGAGUUCAAGUUGUGUUCCGUCCUUUGUUUUGUUUUCUGUUUCUUCUUUCUCUUCUUCUUCUUUGUGAAAGCCUGAUUCUCUGAUUGCUUUAGUCAAUUCUUCAAUCUUGUUUCGUUUGUUUAGUUCCUUUGUGUUAAUAGCAUGAUUACUGUUCUUAUUUUCAUCAUCUGUUUAAUCACCUAUCUAAUAUAAUUAGGCCCAUAACCUAGUUAAUUUCUUGUAUGUUGUUAGGUUAAUUAAUUCGUUUUACUUUUCAUUAUGAGUGCAUUUUUUAAGGGGUUUCCGAGGCUUUUCUUUUGGGAAUUUUGGGCUAGUUCUUAAAGUAGGAUUCCUUGUUUGAUUUUAGUUGGGCUUCUAAAAAUUCAAAAGCCCUAAAAGGGGCAUUGGUGGGGAUUUAACUUGGUUCUGCAGACCCAUUAGUUUGGUCAGUUGACCCGAUUUGGAUUUAAGGGUAAAAACAAAGGGUCUAAGGGCUAAUUUAGGAAAUGGUAUAGGGAAUAUCUUAAAUAACUGCCUAGGAAGCUUCUUAGAAGCUGAAAAAGAGCCUUACUUGGCAAACAAGGCAAUAAUUUAGGGACCAUGUAGCAAAAAUAAAAAUUAAGAAGGAUUGAUGGUCAAAAUCUGACCCUUAGGGUUGCCCUAUUUUCUUGCCUAUAAAGGCUCUCUAACUUGGCAUUCAAGGCAGAGAUUCAGAUAUAAAAAUUGAGAAAAAUAAAAAUGGCUGGUUUUGAUUGUUUCAUUGAGUUGCCUCAGUGAUUUCUGAUUUUUUUCAAUUUCUGAAAACAAUGGUUUCUCAUUUGGGGUUAGAAUGGAUUGAACUUGGGUUGUAGAAGUUUGGUUUGAAGUUUGGUUCACUAUUCGAUCGAAACUGAUUUCUUGAUUGUUGCACAUCAUUUUUUGGGGUUUGAAAUUGGUUUACUGAGUGUUGCUGGUGCUGAUUUCUGCUAAUACUACUGUUGAUUCCUCACCAUUUGGUUUAUAUUUCAAUUUCCAGGUAUGCUUUGGAUCUGUCAUCAUGUGAAGUGCAACUAUGAACUUCUGUAAUUCAAAUUGGAGCAAUAAUCAAUACUAGUUUUUCUGCUAUCUGUUUAGUUUAAAUCUGGUUCUUGUUUUGUUUUUGUAUAGCUUUGUGUGCCUUUCGUUCUGUUUUGUUAAGUUUAGACUUGAACUUAUGAGGAUGCAGUUGAAUAGAGAUUGUCAUGGACUCUGUAAAGAGCAUUAAAUAUGGACUGUGAGUUGCAGUGUACUGGUUGAAGUGUUUAGUUUUGGUUCCAUAGUCAUGGUUGUUAAAUACAUGUUAAUUCCAAUUUUGAGUUAUUGAGGUUAUUUUCCAGCAAUCAUGAUAAAAUCUGCCCCUGCAUAGUUUUAGAUCUCGGUUUAAGUGCUUCUCUUUUUGUGACUAUGUUGAGAUCUUUGAGAAUGAGGAAGGUUCGAAGGGAAGUCGAGAUUGGUUCUGGAUUUUUUUUGAAUUUCCUUUAAGUUCGUCAAAUGCUGAAUAAUGGUUUGUAAAUUCACGUUGAUUUAUUUGUGUGAUUUUUGGUAAGUACAUCUAGCUUGAGGAUAAAGUCCAGAUUAUUAGUGUCUACUGGAUUAGCUUGCAAAAUUGUUGUUAGCAAGUCAUCCAUUUGGAGCAAAUGUCUCAAAUAGAAUGGAAAUGCUCUCUUAAGAAUUAGUUUUAAAAAGCAACGAAUGGAUUCAAGCAUGAUUACUUGUUGAUUGCCAAAUUUCAAGUCUUAAAAUGACGAUUUAUUCAUGUCUUGCCGAAACAGUCAAACCUGAAGGUUAAAUAGUACUUGCGUGUAUGCUUCAUAGGAUCAAGUUAAUUCCAAUAUGUAUGUGUGCUGCCUCAUGCCAUCGAAGGGACUCGAUCCUGAGUCCCAACUUUAUAAGUGCAUUGUGUUCCCGAAUUGGGCCUUAUUUUGGGGUUUAGCUUAAGCCACUCAAGAUAUCAAUAGUUUAGUAGCAUUCGCAACAAAGUGUUGGGAUUCCUUUUAGCCCAGAUCUAAAAUAGGAACGGGCGUUUGCUCAUUCAUUCCGCAUUUUGAGUUUAACUUUAGUAUGAAGGGCCUUUUGAACUCCUUGAGGCUUCUUCUUUAAUUAACUUUGACUCUUUUAAAAGUAGAUUAGAGGUGUGCCAUAUUAGACAAUAAAAUAGUUUAUGGCCCUCCAAAACUUAGUUUGCAUUCCCUUUUAGAAUUGGAAUAGAGGUGCGUCGUGCCAAACAAAAUGGCAAUUGCAUGGCCCUCGCUUAACUAAUUUUGAUUUAAUCCUUAGAAUCCGAGGUGUGCCAUCUAGUGAAAUUUCCGUGGCCCUCGCAAAGUUGCAAACGCAUAUUUACUUUAGGCGCAUUAUUUUAAUAAUUUACAUUCCUAAACUCGGGUGUGCAUUUCAUGUGAUCCAAAUCCAAAUCUUGACAACGCUAAAUAAAAUAUGUCACGGAUCACGGGUGCAUUUCAUGUGGUGUGAUCCAAAGGCGUGUUUUGUAUAACGUUGAAAUCUUCUUAAAAUGAAAUAAAAGCUGUUAUAAAGUUAAAAUCGAACCAUAGGCUAAAACAUAUACUAAAAUCAAAUAAUAGGCCAAUUGUAAUAGUUGAGAGACCGUGCUAGAAUCACGGAACUCGGGAAUGCCUAACACCUUCUCCCGGGUUAACAGAAUUUCUUACCCAGAUUUCUGUAUUCGCGGACUGUAAUACAGAGCCAAUCUUUGCUCGAUUCGGGAUUUAAAACCGGUGACUUGGGACACCAUAAAUUAUCCCAAGUGGCGACUCUGAAUUAUUUUUUAAUAAAAUGAUCCCGUUUUGAUUGUCACUUUAAGUUGGAAAAAACUCCCUUACACCCUUUUGGGGUGUAGUAAAAAAAGGAGGUGUGACAGGUUCGCAUAUAACUGUGGACUGUGCUAUGAAGCGACUGAUAUAGUUGAGACGUCCUAUGAAGCUCAUCAUGUCCUUCUUGCUCUUUAGUGGCGGUAACUCUUGAAUAGCCUUAACUUUGGAUGGGUCCAACUCGAUCCCUCGGCGGCUAACAAUGAAUCCCAACAACUUCCCUGCGGGAACUCCGAACGCACAUUUUGCAAGGUUCAGUUUUAGAUUGUACCUCCUUAACCUAUCAAAGAACUUCUUCAGGUCUGAUAUAUGAUCUGCAACCCUUUUGGACUUGAUGAUGACGUCGUCAACAUACACCUCUAUCUCUUUGUGUAUUAUGUCAUGGAAAAUGGUUGGCAUGGCUCUCAUGUAAGUAGCCCUAACAUUCUUUAGACCAAAUGGAAUCCUCUUGUAGCAGUAUACUCCCCAUGAUGUAAUGAAAGUUAUUUUCUCUACAUCUUCUUCAUCCAUCCAGAUCUGGUAAUAACUCGCAAAGCAAUAUACAAAGGAUUGGAGUUCGCUCUUGGAGCAAUUGUCGAUCAGGAUGUGUAUAUUUGGCAGUGGAAAGUCGUCCUUGGGACUUGCUCUGUUUAAGUCACGAUAGUCAACACAUACUUUGAUUUUUUCAUCUUUCUUCGGAACUGGUACAAUAUUGGCUAGCUAGGUUGGGUACUCAACUACUCUGAGGACUUUGGCUUUGAUCUGCUUAGUGACUUCCUCCUUGAUUUUCAGGCUCAUAUCUGGUUUGAACUUUUUGAGUUUCUGUUUUACUGGUGGAUACCUUGGAUUGGUAGGCAACUUGUGAGCCACUAUGGAUGUGCAUAGACCGGUCAUGUCAUCAUAUGACCAUGCAAAGAUAUCCUCAUAUUCCUUCAAGAACUGAAUGUACUCUUUCUUCUUUGUCGAUGAUAAGUGAAUGCUUAUGCGAGUCUCCUUGAUGGUUUCUGCGUCUCCCAAAUUUACUGCUUUGGUUUUGUCCAGGUUAGACUUAGGUUUAUUAUCAAAGUUCUCAACCUCUCUGACAACUUCAUUAGGUAUCUCAUCCUCUUCUUUUGAGUCACUAUCCUUAUGUUGCAUUGUCUCAUUACAUGUCACAAUCAUUGGUUCAUCAGGAAAAGUAAUAAUAAUGUUGUAGAAAGAAAAGUGUGAAAGAUAAUAAAGAAUAAUAAUAGCCAUGCAUUGAUAAAAAUUGAAAAUAUCCAUAAACAAGUAUGACUUAUUGAAUCGAGCAAUUAUUUUGAAACAAAGCGCGUCUUUUGAAAACAAAAUUACUGAAAACAUCUGAAAUGCCUAGCGUGGCUAUAAAAAUAAAUUUAGGCUAAAUGCCAAGCUACCCAAAGACUCGGCGGGUCCGGGAUGGUGUGGCAGUCCAAUUCCUGAGAAUGGCUCCUUUAUCCAUAGUCUGAAUGGUGAGGCCUUCUUCCUCCUUCUUCUCAAUUAUCACACUGCAAUCCAUAUCCUCGUCCUCUAGGAACAAAUUCCUCAGCCCAGCUAAAGCUUCUUCUUCUACAGUCCCCCAUAUUGUAUCAGCUUGGUGAAAAGUUUGACCCAGAUAUGGCACUGGUUGCUCGAGAGGGUAAUAAGGACCAUGCCAUGGAGGCGACCAAUCAUCAUACUCUUGCCAGGUAUACUGGUAUCCGAGUUUGAAGGUUGUACCUUGACGUUUCAACUGUAUUGGUUUAAUAAUGCCCUGGAGAUUCUUCCUAAGCCCCUUAUCGGGUUCAUACCCUGACCAUGCCAGUAUGCUUUCUAUUUUAUUACUCCACCAUUUGUCUUUCUCAACUGCAUUGACAUGUUCGAUGUAGUGAUAAGUUUCCCCUCCUAGCCUUCUUCUAUUCUCGAUAACCGUGAUGGUUUGACUGGUGUAAAUAGGAUUACUUCCAUCUCUACGAAUGAUCACCUCCUGAUGAUUCCAUUCAAAUUUCACGGCCUGGUGUAGUGUGAAAGUAACAACCCCAGCGGCAUGUAUCCAAGGUCAACCCAACCGAAGAUUGUAUGUAGCCGAUAUGUCAAGCACACGGAAUUCAACAUUGAAACAACAUGCCCUUUGAGACCCAUCAAAGGCUUUCACAUUCAUCCUUCCUGCUCGUAUCUCAUGGAAACCUUUGCCCAAUAUUUUCAGAGUAGUUAAAGGACAAAUGUUAAGGCUUGAACCUCCAUCUAUCAGGACCCUGGCAAUGAAUUUAUCUUCAAACUGUACCGUGAUGUGCAAUUCCCGGUUGUGACUUAAACCUUCGGGCGGUAAUUCAUCCUCGUGGAAGGUAAUCUUAUGACUCUCCAGUGCUUGACCCAACAUGUUGGCCAUUUCUCCACAGUGAUAGUGUUGGGCACAUAAGCUUUAUUCAACACCUUCAUCAAAGCAUUCUUGCGCGCCUUUGAAUUUUGCAAUAGUGAUAAGAUGGAUAUCUGAGCAGGGUUUUUGUUCAGGUGAUCGACAACGGAGUAUUCUCUCACCUGUACUUUCCUCCAAAGAUCAUCCAGUCCAGUUUCAAUGACAGGUUGCUUAGUAGCAGCCUCCUUGCUUGAUCUACCCAACUGUUCAGGUGUAUAGAUCCUUCCCGUUCUGGUCAUUCCUUGUGCAGCAUCAUAUUCUUCCAUUUUUGCUUUUCCUUUUAGCCUAGCUUUAGCAAUGUAAUCCCAAGGUAUGGCCUUGGAACUAAAAAGAGGUGUGGUUAAUACCGUCACUAUGAAAGGUGUGGCCACUUCUACCUCAAAUGGAGCAGGUGUGGCUGUAGGUGGAGCUAUCUUUACCUCAUAUGGAACCGAUGUGGUUACCUCAACCUCGAUUGACGAUUGCAUCUAAACCACAAUAGGAGUGAGUGUGACUGCAAGUUUGAAGUCACCGCCUUCCCAAAUAAGCCCGAUUGACCCUUCAGGAUCCCAUUCUUCAUCCGUCUCUAUCACACGUACCCCAUCGCCCCUAUGAUCCAGAAGAGGAUUGUUGUGGACAUUGGGUGUAGCUUCCUUUUCCUGUAUGACCUUGUUAUCAAUCAAUGUCUGGAUCUUAUCUUUCAAUGUUCGGCAUUCGUCAAUGGCGUGCCCCUUCAUACCGGAAUGAUAUGCAUAGGUUCUGUUUGGGUUGACCCAUUGAGAUGAAUUCUCCAUUGCCAUAACAGGAAUAGGGGUGACAUAACCGGCCGCCUUCAACCUUUCAUACAACUGGUCGAUGGGUUCAGCAAUAGUGGAGUAUUAUCUGGGUGGUAUGCGGUCAAAGUUAGGUCGGGGUUUCUGGUAAUUUGGAUGAUUUGGAGGUGAAUGAUAGUAGGAGGACUGGGCGUUAUAAGUGUGAUGGGUAGUGGCGGGUUGAGAAUAUCUGGGAGAUGAGGGUUGGUAUGUGGGUGGAGGUGUUUGGUAUGUAGGUGGAGGUGUUUGAUAUGUGAGUGGAGAUUUUGGGCCUUGGGCCACCAUUAUUGCCCCCACUUCUCUUUUCUUUGAUAUGUUGCCUGAUUACAAUGCUUUGUUUGUGGCCUGUAGUGCCUCAAAAUUUGUCACCAUCCCCCUUUUGAUACCUUCUUCAAUCCUUUCCCCGAGUUUGAUGAUGUCACAGAACUUGUGAUUCUCAAUGACCAUUAGCGUUUCAUAAUACUGUGGGUUCUGUGCCCUGACAAAGAACUUGUUCAUUUGUUCUACUUCUAGUGCUGGUCUGACCUUGGCUACUUCUAACCUCCACCGAGUAACAUACUUGCGGAACGUCUCAGUCGGCUUGUUCUUUAAGUUUUGAAUAUAAAAGACAUCCAGUGCAUUCUCCGUAUUGAACCUGAACUGGUCCAUAAAUUAUGAUGUCAUGCUCACCCAGUUGGCCCACUUCUUAGGGUUCUGGCUUAUGUACCAGGACAGGGCAUCUUCGAUAAGACUUCUCAUGAAGAGCUUCAUUCAGAUCCUCUCAUCUUUUCCGACCCCCACGAGCUUGUCACAGUAAGUUCUCAAAUGAAUCUAGGGAUCACCUGUUCCAUCAAACAUUUUGAACUUGGGAGGUUUGUAACCCUCUGACAGUUCCACGUCUGGUUGUAUACAUAAAUCCUCAUAAUUCAGACCUUCUACCCUUUUGCCUCCUUCGACACCCUGAACUCGACUUGUUAAUUUUUUGAGUUCCUCGGCCAUAUUCUUGACGAGCAGGUCCUUCUCAGCGGAUUCUGGUGUAUGAGAGAUUGGUUGAGUAGAGUGAGGUAUGGUUUUCACAUAUAUAGGGUUGUUUUGGUAAGUUCUAGGGACUUGGGUGUAGUGGUGGUCGUUGGUUGAGUUUUGAUGGUCGAGAAUAGGUUGUGGCAUGUUCUGAUGAGUGUGAUAGGUAGUGGCUUAUGGGUACUGGAUUGGUUGAUGGUGGUGUUGUGGUGGAGUUGGUAUUGGCAAAGGAUUGGGAUUUUGAGGUGGAGUUGCAUAUUGAUGUGGUGCGGGAGGAGGCUAGUUUGGUAUGUUUUGGGGAGGUGCUGGGUUUUUGGUAUUUUGUUGGUUGAUGUCAGGGACGUUUAGGGUGAGGGAGAGGUUUGCUAAGUUACGGACCUGCUCAAGUUCUCCCUGUAACUCCAGUAUCUUUUGUUCCAACCGCAAAACCAAGUCAUUUGGUGCCGGAGUACUCCGACCGUUUGAAGUUUCCGCAUUCGUAACAUUUUCCUUUCGAAUACCACUUAAGUCAUCCAUCUUAUCUUUCCCUCCGCUUCUCGUAUUACUUGGGGGAGGAGGAGGUGGAGGGCCUCUGGAUCUAGUGUGAUAUGCUGAUUAUGCCAAUAUGUGCGAACCAACCUUAGGGGAUGGGAAUAAUAAAGAAUAAAGAAAAACAAAAGGUAAACAAGUCAGUAAGGGUUCUGAAGAGUUUGCAGUGUUUAAACACAUAUUGUGGGAAUGUAAAUUUGCAUCCUAAUUUGGGAGUCUUGUUGUGCCCAAGGUAGGCCUAGUGACAAAUAGAUUUGGAGAAAUUCAGUGCCAAUAAUUGCCUCAUUUCAUUAAUGUAAAGACAGACGACCCAAAACGACACUAAAUAAGAUAUGUUACUAAUGGCACUUGGCCUUAUUACAUUUGAAAAGCAAGUAAACCUAAUCUAUUUGGUCCCAGAAGGACCCACUCCAGACUAGAUGCUCUUGUCGAUCAGUUCCCCCAGUUCGUGCAGGUUCGACAAUAAGAAUGCCCUUGCUAAAUGUCCUCUUCCAUUUCCCUCAACGUUCUGGCAAUCAGUGACCCUCUUUUUCAUUUUCCCUUCCAAUUCCAUAAGACUGUACUCCAUAUAUUCUAGCCUUUCGAUGGGUUUAACAACCCUCUCUUUCCACUCAUUGAUCAUUUCCAUGUCAGCCUUAUGCUACUCCAUAUGCUUAGAUUCAGACUCGCGAAUUCUUUUUGCGCAAUUUAUUCUACUUCACCUAUGUUUGGGCAACUUCGUCUAUGACCCUCUUCCUGGACCAACCCUUGGCUCGAAGAUUCCUGCUAUGUUAUCAUCCAACCAUGAGGGGUCGAAGUAUGUGUGACCCGCAUGAUAUCGAUUCGGCUCAAUGGUAUCCUUUUCCACGAUAAUCUUCAAGUGCUGCAUGUGUUGUGCUUCAUCUUUAUAUGGGAUGGUGUCACCCUGAAAGUCGACUAUGAAGUGACUCAUUUUAGCGACUCGUGGUAUGACAUGUCUCCUGCCUGCCUGUCUCAUAAACCUAAGGGGAGCAUAGGAGUAUAUGCCCCUUAACCUAAUCAGUACCAAGUGUGGAGCAUCCCUGGAUCUCAUGAUGAACUCGUCGGUAGGGAACCACUCGAACAUCCAUUGAACCUGGUCCUCGGUCGAAUUGUUGAAAAAUUGUACCCAUCCUACGGCAUCCUCUGGUUGAGAAAACCUGUCUGUGAUAUAGGUCAUUCUUUUGGGAUGGUCUAAGGCUAUAUGAUCAUUCCACGACCUUCGCGGAAAUUCCUAACAGUAUUGACCCUUUUGGAGAUGUUCUAGCAACCAAGCUUGCAGCAACAAAUUGCAACCCUUGAAGAAUCUGAACCCCUUCUGACAGUGUUCCAAGGCCCGAUACAUGGCUACAAUGAUCAUAGGGACAAUGGUAUAUGUCUGCCCCUCGAUCUCGUCCAUUAAAGUUUUGGCCACCAUGGCGAUUUUGGUGUGGAUUCUGUCCCCUUGGAUCGGGAACACUAGCAUGCCCAAGAAAUAUACGAUGAACACAAAGACCCUACGGUGAAUCCAACCCAAAGAGGUGAUGGAGAAUUCAUCAUCAAAAAUACGGUAAGACCUGUUGUGACCGUAUCGUUCAUAGAGGAAGUCGAAAGGUAUGUAGGAGUCUUUCAGGCACUUCAAGUCAUCAUUCUUCUUUAACCCCGUCAUCUUAAGAAAUCCCCUAGUGGUGCAAUUUUCAGGUACCAAUAGACCAGGGCUAUCCCAAGGCAAUCCAGCGAAUUCCCCUAUUUCUUCCUAGAGAGGGGCCAUUUCUAUGCUUCCAAAGCGAAACACAACCCUUUCUUUGUCCUAGAACAUGGUGGCGGCUUCGAUAAAGAUUUUGUUUGGCAGAAGGUCCAGCAAAGAAGGAAAAUUUCCUAAGACCCUUUUCACAUGAUUUUGGUCAUAUGAAGGAAGAUCCUCCACCAAUCUAGCAAAAGUGAAGGUAUGCUACCGACCAUGCCGAGCCUGGGGACUUCGUGCCUCAUUUUUCUACAAAACAAAAUAUGGUUAGACCCUUUACCCCUCCAGGUUCGUCUAUUUAUACAACAAUGAUUGGCAUAUUGGUACUUAUUUCUCCAAAAUUAAUGCACACAAUCGUGGUUGCAUCCGUUGGGAUCAUGGAAAACUCGAUGGACUAUUGGGUGAGGCUUGUCUUAAAGGGAUAUUAUGUGGACAACAUAUUAACCCGACUAGAUUUGACCAUGAUGCACGUGCAAUUAAUUAGAGUAAGGUUGCUAUAGAGGUCCAAACUGGGACCCUCAAGUGGACAACUUGAGGGGGAAAGGCACGGAACUGUCGACUGCACCGCUGAUCGACUAGUUUUACCGCAAAUACGCCUUUUCGAAUUUUAAAGGGUAACAUAUAGGAAGAGCGCAAACACGCAUCAAGCGUUGCUAUAGGAUUGAUUACGCACGAGUGGAAUAUGAUGUUGAACAUGAGUUAUGCAACAAUAAAUAGCAUGUUGUCAAGUAUUUGCACGCUUAAAAAUGAUAAAUGCGGGUAUUUAUAUAAUUGAAAGACAGUUACAAAAAGAAAACAAAGAGACAAGUCAGUUUCAAGAAAUAAAGAAAUCAUAAAUGCUUGAGAAAUAAGCAAUUAAGUACAAAUAAAGGGGAAAGGGAAAGGGUGCACAUGUAUUAACAGAAUAAAACAUGCUCAAGACUAAUUCAGAAAAACAAGUUUGUUAUGGUAAGAGCCUAAAAUAUCCCCAGCAGAGUCCCCAUGCUGUCACGCCCCAUUUUUUCUCGCGGAGUCCGGGUUUCAACAUUCAUUGGGAACAAUUCAUUUCCUUUUGGGAAUUGGGUACGAAAUUUGAAGAGUCGCCACCUAACGGAUUUAAGGUGCGUUAGGGCACCUAAAGCAAAUAACUUAUAAAAUCGAUUUGCAUUACCAGAGAAUGGGUAAGGGCUCGAAAUAACUUUGAGUAGAAGGUGUUUGGAACCCCUCACGGUCCACAACGGUGGGUCCCGGCUGAACUUAAAUUGUGUGAAUUAGUCUUAUAAACAGAUAAAGAAAAUUAGACAAAUUGGUAUUACAUUUAAAACAAAAGGUAAAAGGGGUCCUCGAUUUUUUAGCCUACAAGAUCAUAUCUGUACAAUGCUUUGUAAUCAUNNNNNNNNNNNNNNNNNNNNNNNNNGAACUCUAUGUGUGCAUUACCCGUCCCUUCCUUAUGACCUGGAGGUGAUUAGGACCUCUAAUUAAGGCAGUUCUAGACUCUCCUAAGGUGUCUAAAGGAGAAAAAUCUAGGCGACAAGCAAAGACAAACAGGACAUUCACAUAAAAAGACAAUUAAAGGCUCACUUUUACCUCCUCACACAACCAAAUAAUAGCACGCCUCAAACAACAAGAUUUCAAGUAUUUCAAAGGGUCCUGGAGUAGGAUAUCUAGAUGAGCAAAUAGAAUAUGUGCAGCAUUAUGUUAAAGUGAGACAAUAGAGACCUAAUCAGUUUGCCUACUGAUUUUAAGACAUGUGGAAUUAGGACAGUUCACAAAUGACAAAAGCGCGGUUUUAUAGUUUGCAGGAUUUCUGUCGCCCUACAGGCUUGCCUAGGCGUGUAUCAAUGAUGUCUUAUGAACAUGGAAUCUAGUUAUUAAUCAGGAGUGCAGCAACCAGUAGACAAUUUUAAGCAAGCAGUUUAGAUCCUAUAGGCAUGCUGUCUAGGUAAAACCUUACAGAACAGUUUUUUUUAUACACAUUAUCUCUAUAGACAUGAUACCUAAGUGUAGAGGCUGCUUUUAAAACUUACUCUUAUAGACGUAUUUGUUACUGAAGAAAUUGAUUCUGUACGAUCUAGAUGUAGUCAUGGUAUUUAGGCGAGGGUAAUAAAAAGUCCUAAAGCAUGAUUUCUAAUGCACAUAAGAGAAUAGACAUGAUUAUUAGGCAGAAUUAAUAGCAACCUAGUGACAGGAUUUCUAAACAGGCAUGACAUAUGCUGAAUUUUAGAAAGCAGAAGUUUAGAACAAAUGAUAUAAUGCACCGAUAAACAUGCACAAAAUAAUCCUAUAAGCAUGGUUUUUAAUGCAAGUAGAUAAUCAUAAUGGUCCUAGAAGCAUGAUUUCCACCCGAUUCCCCACAUUAUAUAUAUAUAAAACGUCCCUCCCAUUUUUACUAAUUUUCCCAAUAUCUGUUUACAAGAAUUAUUAUUACAGACCAUAUGAAUUACAGAAAGAACAAACUAUGCUAUAGGGAGCCUGAAUAGAGGCCCAAAGAAUAAACCUGGCAAACCAGGCCUUCAACCAGUCCAAAAAUGCCAUAACCUCAUAUUACACCCAAUAGUAUCCUGGUGUGUCAAAGUUCCCAGGGCCUCAGGGACCCCGGGCAAUGCUCCCACCAGAAAAACAUUCAAAGAAACCCUUUUGGUGUAAGUUUGGAAAGCCAACUCCAGUGUGUCAAAGUUCAGAGGAGUCUCAUGGACUCCUAAGCAAUGCUCACACUAGAGGGGCAAGACCCUAGGUGUUCUAAGAAUAGUAGUUGAAAACAAGAGAUAGUUUUUUAAGAAAAAAUAGUUUUGGAUUUUCAGGAAGUAAGGAGCAAACAAGGUCAUUCUAUCAUUGUAACAAAAGGUCCCAGCAGUCAAAUGGUAUACAAAACAGGGUGACUUAGAGUUUCAACUUAAUUUAUCAAUAGUUACUAGGUGAGUAGACACUAAUCAAAGGCAUGACAUGCAGGGAUCACUCAGAUAGUCACAUUCAAAGGGGUAGUGGGGAUGGGGAGCCAUAUUGUUCAGGAGUCUGUGAGAGAUGAACACUUAAAGAGCAUACUAGUGAAGAAGUAAACAAACAUAGAUCCAGUUUAGACAUGAGCAAGUAUACAGACUUGCUGAAAGUAGAAGCACAUAGGUCUGACUAAAAUAAGAGCAAAUAGAUUGAAAGCAAGACCCAUAGGAUCAAUCAGACCGAAGUCGACAUGCUAUUGCAACAACAUAUAGGUUGAACAGAAGUAGAAAUGCUUAUUGUAGUAGACACAUUAGUUUGAUUAAGCAGAAGGAAGGCAUGUUAAUUAUAAGGAAACACAUUGAAUAGCAGGAAGCAUAUAGUCUAAUUGAAUAGUAGUACACAUGCUAAUUAGGAACAAGAAGCAUGAAGCACAUAGGUUUAAUUAAAGAUAGGAGGGCUGAUAUAAAGAUCAUACUGAUUUAAUAACAGGAAAGUGAACAUGCUGAGAAUAGAAAGUACACAAAUAAAUCAUACAGAGGUUUGCAUGAUAGUAAAGUGGGAGCAUACCAGUUAAAGAAGCAGAAGCGGAAGGUAAAGUAGGCAGGAUUGAACAGCCCAGCCUUAGCUUUCAGCCGGCUAGACAAGCAAUGAACACAAGUAGCAGAGAGAGAGAGAGAGAUGAGAGCAAGUUUAUGUGUGUGUGUGUGUGUGUGUUUGAACUAUUGUUAGUGUUUAAAGAAAUCAAAAUGAGAGUUUAUAUAGCACUAAGGUAGGACAAAUAAGGUAAAGAAUAAAUCAAAGUUCAUAAACCAAGGUAAUCAGAAUAAAUCAAUCAGUUAAUUGGGGACUUAACUCGAUUAAUUUCCACAGAAUAAUCCAAUAAGGACCUCCUUAAAUUGGGAAGAAUCCCUUAACGAUUCAGAUUGGGAUAUAAAUAAGGCAAACAAUCAAUCAUAUACCAUAUAGGAGUCAAUUAGAUCCCUAAAUCAGACUAAUAGUCUAAUUAAGAUAAGCAGUACUAAUUAAAGUCACAAAUAAGGAAAAUAGGUAAAUCACAGAGAAGUACUAAUUUAACUGGAAGAAUUGGUUCAAAUCCUUAAUAGAAAUCAAUUAAGUAAAAAGAAAUCCCAAAGAAUACUGGUUUUAAUAGGAAAUUCGUUCAAGACUAAUGAAUAAAGUCAGUCAAUACAACGGGUUCACAGAAAUAAACACAAUAACGAAAAAAUGAAGAAAUCAGUGUCACAAACAGAAACAUCUAGGGUUUAAACAUAUACACGAAAAUUAAUCAAACAUGUAAAGAAACCAUUAGUUUAACACUGAAAGGUUUAGAAAAAUCUUUGAAAAAAGUCUGGCAGGAACCCUAAUUUCAGAGAGAGUAAAAGAAGUUGAAACAAUUAAUUAAACCAAGAGAUUUAAAGGAAAAUACCCAAUAAUACUCAAAUCACCUUAGAUCUAUAAAGAUCUGAGAAGAUUCGAACAAUAGUGAAACUAGGGUUUUCAGAAGAUAGUAGAGACGAAGAGAAUCGGUCGAAAACCCAUAGAUUCGUACUAGAAACAAGAGGAAAUCCAUACUCACAAAUGAAAGUGGCCUAAGACAGGCAAGUAAACAACUUUCAAACCGGAACAGGUUGGAUUUCUAUGAGAUCUUCUCAAUGACUCAUGAAACCGAGCAGCCAGAGAGUAUAGGAGGCCGGUGUCGGUCGGAGAAUGCACAGAAAUAUAUUGGAAAAGAGGCCUCCGUCGAUGACGACGAUUAGGGUUAGGGGUGAGUUGAGAGAGAGUUUGAGAGGUUAGGGAACGAGGGCGGCGUAAAUGAAAGAAUGAACGGGUUUAGGGGGUCGUUUGGGAUUAAUAUGAUAAGUUUAAUUGUGGACCGUUGAUCUAAAAGAUCAACGACCACGAUUAAACAGGGUUACUGGGUCGGGUAGGUUUAAUUGGGUUAGGGUUAUUUUAAAUUGGGCUUUGGUUUACUAAAUUAGAUUGGGGGGGGGGUCCAAUUUUGGGUGUAAAUUAGGGGAUAUUAUUUAAAUACCCAUUUUACUAAUUAAAAUAAUUUUAAAAUUAGCUAAUAAAAUGAUAAAAAUGAUUUUCAAGCAUGAAGGUAAUUUAAAAUAAUUAUUCAAUAUUAUAAAAAUAUAAAAAGUUAAUUUUUGUAUAGAUAAUGUAGUUAUGCCUAUGUAGGGGCUAUAUUUGCAAAAUAUGCAAUUAUAGUAUUAAACAUGCAAAUAUAAUUAUAAAAAAUAUAAUCAAAAUAUUUGAACACUCAUAUGAUCAUAAAUGAUGAAUUUAGAUGAUUAGAUCAUCAUAAAAUAAUAUAACGGAUAGUUUUGAACAUUUAUAUAACUAAAAAUGCAAAAAUAAAUGGAUUUAGGGCCAUGAAAAAUUAUAGAAAAUUGUAAAACACAUGUGCAUGUUUGUAAAUGCAUAUACAAUAUUUUAAAAGUAUUUAUGUAUAUCUGUCUAUGUAUCUAUAUAAUAGAGGGCCUUUGACCGGUUACGUGGCACUCGCAUUUGGCACGAAAAUGUGUUUUCUGCCUCUACGUUUUUUCACUUUUAAAACCAGUAACUUCACCACUUUAAAACCUAAAAAUUCACCACCC